rnacentral:lncRNA from 1 species
UGCAAUUCAUCUUCUUCGUCCUCUUCCCUUUCCUCGCAUUCUCAUCCUUCGCAGAAGAAUCAAAUCCCUCCCAUUUCCAAAACAUGGCCACUCUCGGCGGAGUCCACGAAUCCCAUGCCUCCGAGAACAGCCUCGAAACCGAAGACCUCGCUCGCUUCGCCGUUCAAGAUCACAACAAGAAGGAGGUUUUUACUCUUUUUUGCCUUUUAAUUUCUUCAAUAUUAUGCACUUGAAAUUACUUCCCGCUCAAUCAGUCAGUGACUUUUGAUACAUUUCUCGUACACCAACACGAACACCAACUGAAUGGGAAGAAAGCACUUGAAAUUAUGGCCACAUGAAAUUAUAAAGUCCACCAACAUUUAUGAUUAAUAUAAUUCUAUCUUUAUCAUGAUCAGAGCCCAAGAUUGAGUUAAACCUUGUAGUCAGUCACGUGUGUGGUGUGGAACGGAUAAUUGUGGUUUAAACAGUCCCCAUUACGAUGCAUGUGAACGGGAUCUUCUCAAUGUUGAUAUGCCUAUGAUCAUCCAAUUAAUGGGGGGCUUGUGAAAAACGAAAUGCAAGUUGGUUCGCAAUUCUCUGUUUUUUUUUUUUUUUGUUUCGUGAUUUUUUUAGUCAAUCGGUUGUAGUUGCUGGUUUCGGAAUGUGGCAUGCGCUUAAUAAUGCUGGCAAUUGCUUGGAAACCCUAAAAUUGGGCCAAUCUAUGUUGCCCGUCGGUACGAAGAAGAAGAUUCAUGAAAUAGGCCCAAUGAGAAGAAGUGGAAGUCCUUAGCAGGCAGGCUGUGCAUAUAUAUCAGCCAGCGAAGAAAAUCUUAAAAUUACAUCAUGCUAAGCAUACUAUAUUUGCAUACCACCUUUUUAAUAGAUGUGAUACACAACGUGAUAUAUAAAUUGAUAUAGCUAGUAUUUUUGUUUGUAUACUUAUGAGGAAGAUGGAUCUUAAAAGUAAAUAAUUCAUUUUUGCUGUCUCAAACCCUACCGCGUUGUUUGGUAAGCAUAAACGACGACCCUCCACAAAGAAAAGCCAUGGUCCUAGAUUCUUGAUUGAGUUGUUUCUAAAGAUAUAAAAACAGCAAUGAGCUAAUGCUUGUCAAUGUCCAAAAAAGAAAAACUGAAAAAAGAGAAGGAAACGAUCAAUGCUUAUUAUAUAGAUGAUGUGAUGUCUCUUUUUAUAUAGAUGAUGUGAUCGUUUUAAGGACAGAAAAUGAAGUGUCAAAGAAACCGUGUAGGGUCAUCCGCGUUACAAAAGCAUUUGGGUUCUUGUUGUUUUUUUUUUUUGUAACCAAAAUAUCGGGGCGUAAUGAUCUCAUUCGAAGACUCCAAGUCAAUGAAAUAUUGAGUCACAUAAUAUCUCAAGUUCUCAACAGCCCUUCAAAACUUGCUGCAAAACUGAACCAGAAGAUCCAUAAUCCUUCGCAAAGAAUCGAAACAUGACUGGAGCUUUGGUUGGAGGGGCUUUUCUCUCAGCUUCCUUGCAGGUGCUGUGCAACAAGAUUGGUUCCGGCAAAUUCAAGGACUUACUCAAAAGUAGUUAGGGUUUAAAUUAAUAUAUAUGUUUAUUCUUCUCUCAAGGAGGGAUAUAUAUAUAUAAAGACUUUCUCUAUUGCGAAGUGCAAGUGUGCGGAGUGGAUGAGGACUUCUAUUUGUGACCAUUAGAUUCCUUGUACGCUAUGAAUUUAAAACAUCAUUGAGAACUUCUAUUUCUAUAAGAGCUUUUCAGUCUUUUGGUAAGAGCCACAAUUUCCCGCGCUUACAUAUCCAAUCUACUAACCUCUGUUUCUUUCUUCCACCAGAACACCUUCUCUUCCCUGUGCUUUCAUCCCUAGCAAUAUCACAGCUGCUCCUCUGGGUUAUAAUAUUUUUAUUUCUUGUUUUCAAGACAUUCUCGUCCAUGUGCUCUCAUCCCUGGCAAUAUCAUAGCUGCUCCUCCAGGUUAGAAUAUUUUUAUUUCUUCUUCUUUUCUUUUUUGCUUUAUGAUAUAUGGGUAUUUUCCAUUUUGCUUAUACAAAGUUUUUUUAUUUUCUUAUGGUAUGGGAUUGUUUACUAAGAAGAUUUGGGUUUCGUUGGAAAUCACGAAGGUUGGAAUCGGAAAAACAGAAAGCACUGAUGUAUGGGUUUUAUGGAUUUGGCUACUAAUUGGUCUUUGUUUUUGUAUGGUUUUGGCUAAGUUAUUCUAUUUCGUUUUCUGGUUGAAAGUUUAUCUAAUUCAGGUUUGAUAUGCACUUACGAGUUUGGCUUUUGGUUUAAGCAUUGCUACAGUAUUCUUUGCUAUUGUUUACCAAUGUUCAUUGACCAAUAUUUUUGUUAUUUUUUGCUUUAAUAGAUGAAACUUUAGAGAUGGGAAUGAAUUUAUGGAAGAUACUAAUGAAAAUAAUUCAGAUUUAUUUUUCAAUCCUCAAGCAGAAGAUCAGCAUGUACCAAAAAUUGGUCAAGAGUUUGAAUCACUUUGAAUCAUUAUUGUUCAAGCUAUAAUUUUGUAUGAAGCUGAACGUCAAUUAUUGUUGUAGCUUCAAUUCCUUUGUCUUGUAAUGGAGUCUUGGGACCAUCUAUUUCAAUCAUUUAUCUCUUUAUAUCUUUUUCAAACUUUUGAAGAUAUCCUAUACACAAACUUUGCAAAUCAUCCGAAGAAGGCAUGACUCUUCGAAUCAUAUCAGGAAAUCAUAGUUAGCUUCAAUAUCCCCAUCUGCAAAUUAAAUAUAGUUAGUAAUUGUAAACAUCAGGUAAAUACAUAGUAUAAUUAAACAACAGAUAGCCAAGGUCAUAUAAAAAAAUCCCACCCAGCAGUACAACACCUCACCAAACUCAAAACAAAACAAAAGUGAGCCAAGUUCAUAUGAAGACUAAGUAAAACCCAAACCCAAAUCAACGAGGAUAUCCCUAUAAAAAGAAAUAGAAAAUCAAUGUAGAGAAGAAGGGAAAUGACGUAUUGCAUAUACAGAAUCACAAAUUGCAAUUGUGGUGGAAGAAAGAAACAGAGGUUAGUAGAUUGGAGGUGUAAGCGCGGGAAAUUUUGGCUCUUACCAAAAGACUGAAAAGCUCUAGAAAUAGAAGUUCUCAAUGAUGCUUUAAAUCUACAGCGUACAAGGAAUCUAAUGGUCACAAAUAGAAGUUCGCAUCCACUCCGCACACUUGCACUUCGCAAUAGAGAAAGUCCCUAUAUAUAUAUAUACUACAUACAUAGUGGGUACAAAUAGGAACGUUGACUUUGACUCAUGCCAACACUCCCUCUCAAGUUGGUGCAUAGAUAUCGGUAAUGCCCAACUUGUCAAGUGAGUCUUCAAAUCAGUGCUUUUGACACAGCAUGGGUCAACAUAUCUGUAAGCUGCUCCGAAGAAGGCACAAAAGGUAUAGAAAUUAACUUAUGCUCCAGCUUCUCCUUAAUGAAAUGUCGAUCAACUUCUACAUGGUUAGUUCGAUCAUGUUGCACCUGAUUGUUAGCAAUUUCAAAUGCAGACUAUCACAGUAGAGCUUUAUAGCAGCAUCUGGUCUAAACCCAAUUUUAGCAAGUAACCACCUUAACCACAAUAUUUCACAAACCCCUUGGGCAAUUCCUCUGUACUCAGACUCUAUAGAGGAACAAGACACAACAUGUUGCUUCUUGCUAUGCCACAUAACUAGGUUACCGCCAACAAAGGUGAAGUGACCUGAUUUAGAACGUCUAUCUAUAAUAUUCCCUGGAUAAUCUAUGUCAGUGUAACCUUCUAGAUCCAAGUGGCCAUUUUUCUUAAAUAUUAAACCUCUCCCAGGAGCAAACUUUAAGUAACUCAAAAUACGCAUCACAACAGCCAUAUGAUCUUCACUAAGGUGAAUGCAUAAAUUGGCUAGCAACGCUUACAAUAUAGGCAAUAUCAGGGCAUGUCAGUGAUAAAUAGAUCAAUCUCUCAACUAACCUUUGGUAUCUUUCUUUGUUAGUUGGGAUCUGAUCCACAUAAACCCCAAGUUUACGAUUCUCAACAACUGGUUUACAGUCAAGCAUUCCAGUAUUUGCUAGCAGGUCCAUGACAUACUUCCUUUAUGAAAGAAAUAAGCCAUGUUUAGAUCAAGUGAGUUCCACUCCUAGAAAAUAUUUCAGACUGCUCAAAUCUUUCAUCUCAUAUUUUUCUUUUAUGUUGUUAGAUUCCCUCUUUAUUAUUCCAUGUCUAUUUUCUUGUACAUACUUCUUGUUGGCAAUUAAUAUUCAGAAGUUACAAGAGUUGGGGGUUAACUAGAGAAAUUAAUUUGUUGGGUUAGUUAUCCAAAUUGUCCUCAAAUUUAUACCCGAGUUUCAUUUUGGUCUCUCAACUAAAUUAUUCAUUUAAAUGAUCCACCGACUCUUUAUUAAUCGGUGCAUUGGUCCUACAAUUACAUUUUCUGUUAAAUUAGUCUUAUAAGCAACACAUGCUACAUUUGUAAGGGUAAAUAAAACUUUUGAAAACUAAAAAAAUAAAAUUAUAUGAUUAAAAAUUAAUACAAUAUUUUCUUUAUUUUUAAAAAUAAUUUAAAACUAUAAACGAAUAAAAAACAACAAAAAGUAAUGUAAGAUCCCACAUCAACCAACGGAGAGGGGGUGAUGUGCCUUAUAUGUGCGCACCCGCAUCCAUCUAGCACGAGGCCUUUUGGGAGCUCACUGGCUUCGGAGUCGUAGGAACUCCGAAGUUAAGCGAGUUGGGGGCUAGAGCAAUCCCAGGAUGGGUGACCCACUGGGAAGUUGCUCGUGACCUCCCAGAAACAAAACCGUGAGGGCAGAGAGGGGGGCCCAAAGCGGACAAUAUCGUGCUACGGCAGAGCCGAUCCCGGGAUGUGACAAGUAACCCUAAAAAAAAAUCAGCCCACCCAACCCCCAUCUCAUCGUGGGUCUGCAACAGCCUCUCUCUCUCUCACUCUCUUCUCAAACAAACCCAGAGCCUUGCAGCCCCAAUAUUAAACAUUUGAAGGGAGAAAUAGAGGGAGAUAUAGGGAAGAGGUGGAGGGGACAAGGAGGGAGGAGAAGAUGGGGCGCUAGGGUGCUGGGGCAAUGGUUAUCGGGCUAGAGGUUGGGAGGUGGGAGAGGGCGAUAGUUUUUUUUUUACUUUUGGUUUUUUUUACUUUUGGUUUUUAGUUUUUAAUUUAUUUACUAUUUUAUUUUACUGGAUUAUUUGACGGCAAUAUUGACAAAAUGUAAUAGUAGGACCAAUGCAUCGAUUAAUAAAGUGUUGGUGGACAAUUUGAACAAAUAAUUUAGUUGAGGGACCAAAAUGCAAUUCGGGUAUAAAUCUAAGGACCAUUUGAGUAAAUAACAUAUUCUAAGUUCAAUCUAACGAACUAAUUCUUAAUUUCUUCAUACUUGAACUUAGGAGUAGCUAGUUGAGCUCAGAUAUGCAUGAAAAUGAAAGCACCUUGAAAGGUCGUUGUUUGCAAUUGGACCUACAGUUCCAUUUCACUAGAAUUUUGCCUUUUGUUGUAUCCUUUCCCUGAACUCCAGACUCUCUGCGUAUCAUUCCCAAUGAGAACUACCCCGACUUGACCCAAUUUGGCUUCGUGUAUUUUAAAAUUUCAAGCUAACUGCAGCUUCUAAUGGAAGCCCUUCUUUUACCUGUUAAUUCUUAGCAAAUAACUAACGUCCAGAAGUCGAGUCAUUUAUAGCAGGGGAUAGAUCAUAGCUUUGGUGUUGGCCCUUUAAGCAAACAGUAUUCUGAAGGGUAUUGAUGGGGAUUGGGGUCAGGACACAGGUCACCAACCACAUACACGAGUACCAAAAUCUAGGGUUAGUGCAAACUCACAUAUAUCGUAGCAAAUUCAUGUCACAAAUAAACUAUUUUAUUAAUCAUCAACAUAUGCUCCCUAACAACUAUUACAUUAGCCUUAUUUAUAGGCUUUACAAGACUUGGGCACCAAGGCUACUUGGUCCAAAAGUAAACUAAUUAAUUAUAAAAUCACACAUAAAUAAUAAAAGAUACCAUAAAACUACCUAAAUAAGAAAAUGACAAUAUAUCAUGAAAUAACUAAUUAAAUGGUAAAUAUCUAUCUUGAUCCACCCCUAUGCUCCUGCAUCAGACUCCCAUGGUUGGAAAGAAUUCGUCCUCGAAUUCAAGCCUUUGAUUGAGGAAAAUCCAAAUAGAAUCUUCAAUUGCUUCAUAUUAAUUCUGGAUGUUUUAGCAUCCAAUUGAAACCUUCCUUUCCAAAUAAAAAGUUAUUUGGAAUAUUUCGUUAUUCUUGGCUUCUUACUCCCUCUAGCAAUGCAAAUGUUUCUCUCUAGAAUCUUCAACCAAUUGACAAAAUCAACCAGAUUUUUGGCAACCUUCCAAGUGAAAAUAUUAAUGCUCAUAAAAUCAAUAAUAUCUUCUAAAGUUUUUCCAAUUCUCAUCUAUUCACUGUUCUUGCCAAUAAAUUGCUUAUCAAAAUUUCUUUGAACACCCAGACAAUUUUCAUUGCAAUUUUCACAGUUGCACGGAUCAAAUAUUGGAGGUAAAUUCAAAUUUAAUGAUUUUGAUGAAUAACAAGAUGCACCAAAAUUACCAAAUUUAUUUAUACCUUCAAAGACACAAUGAGAAUAACCGUGCUCCUCUUCACUUGACUCACACAGCGGAGUGCAAUAAUGAAGAGGGAUAUCUCCCUUGUACUCCCCGUCUAGACUCCUACGGCUUAGAGUGUCGAUGCAAGCUACUCGGUUCAGAUAAGGGUUCACACAUCCCUCCCCGUCAGAACUCUUACCUAUAUGGGUUCGAGAUUCAAUGCGAGCUAUGCGUUCUGUAAGUUGCCUUAGCAUCCUCCUAAUUUCCUCCAUGUUGUUGUCGUUGUAGUUGUUAACAAGACCCUCCAUCCAAAAACCUCCCCGAUAAAGCAGAUCUUGAGCCAUAGCUAUGAUACCAAUUGAUGGGGAUCGGGGUCUGGACAUAGGUCACAACCACAUACACGAGCACCGAAAUCUAAAGCUAGUGCAAACUCACAUAUAUCGUAGCAAAUCCAUGCGACAAAUAAACUAUUUUAGUAAUCAUCAACAUAUAUUCCCUAACAACUAUUACAUUAGCUUUAUUUAUAGGCUUUACAAGACUUGGGCACCAAGGCUACUUGGUCCAAAAGUAAACUAAUUAAUUAUAAAAUCACACAUAAAUAAUAAAAAAUAUCCUAAAACUACCUAAAUAAGAAAAUAAAAAUAUAUCAUGAAAUAACUAAUUAAAUGGUAAAUAUCUAUCUUGAUCCACCCCUAUGCUUCUGCAUCAGAUAUAAUGCACAGCAGCACAGAUACACAAAAUUGCAAGACCCCAUUAUCCAUCAAAUCUUUCCAAUUAACUAAUUUUGGUUCUCCUUUGAGUCUACAUGUCUCUGUCUUCCAAAAAAUUAAUGAAAGUAUAUGUAUUCAAAACAUGAGAAGGAAAAAAUAAAAAAUAAAAAAAAUAAAAAGGGCACUUCUCUGUUGGUUCAUUUUCUUCUUCUUUUUAUGCGUGAUGCGGUAAAUUCAAUGUCUUACUUAUUUUACAAAGAGAUUUGAUAAAUAAAUAUAAAAAAUAAAGAAAUAAAGAAAAUUAAGCCAAAAAUAAUAAAAGGAAAAAGAAAUCAGCACCAAUGACAUUUCACAUAUGUUCAAUCAAAUUGUGCACAUUUUGCAUUAGUAGAUUUCAAUAUAAAAAAAAUAAAAAAAAAUAAAAAAAUAAAAAGAGGCGAGAAUGGGUUGGCAGCUACCACGAUUUCAUUGGAUUGGGAUGAUGGGGAUGGCUAACGCUGAAUCGCGUGGGAGGGAAGUUUUUCUCCCGCUUGUGGAGAGAGACAAAAGUGUCAAAACCAUGUGGGGUCCCCACAUUACAACAGCAUUUGCUGAUUGUCUCAUUGGAAAAGUCUAAGUCAACAAAUGAGUUUUUAUUAUUAUUAUUUAUUUUAUAGUAAGAGCUUUCAAAACUUAUGUAUUGAUGGACACAUAUAUAUUGAAUAUUUGUAUGUUGCAUUAUUAGAUGGAAAUUGUGUCAUCACAAAUGACCUUCCGUUGUUUGUUUCUGUUAUUCUUGGAAUUGGUUAGACUCUUGUUAAACAAUAAUUUGAUUUUAAUAUAAAAAAUGAGAGAAGGAAAAUAUGUAUCAAUGCUUGCUUAGCAUAAUCCCAACAAAAAACCCGCAUCAAAUAAUACAUUGUUGGACGGUAGCUUUAUGUCGAGUCUGUGGACCUCAUCCUCAUGUCAAGUCUCCCAAGUCAAAUCAAAUUGAGAAUUACCAAAUCUUAACACCCUUCAAAACUUGUUCCAAAACUGAACAAGAAUUUCCAAAACCCACAUACUUAGUCCAAAUCCUUUGCAAAGAAUCGAAACAUGGCUGGAGCUUUGGUUGGAGAGGCUUUUCUGUAUGCUUCCGUGCAGGUGCUGUGCAACAAGAUUGGUUCUCAUGAGUUCAGGGACUUGUUCCGGGAAAAGAAACUGGACGAGUCGCUUGUAAAGAAACUGAAGAUAACACUAUUGAGCCUCAAUGCAGUGCUUAAUGACGCGGAGGAGAAGCAGUUCACGAACACUUACGUCAAAGAGUGGCUUGAUGAGCUUCAAGAUGCUGUCUUUGAUGCGGAUGACCUUCUGGAUGAGGUCAAUGCUGAAGUUCUGCGAUGCAAGGUGGAAGCUGAAUAUCGAACUGUCAAAACUCAGGUGUGGAACUUCCUCUCUACUUCUCUUAAUCCUUUUUAUCAAGGCAUGAAUGGUAGGAUUCAAGAGUUGUUUGAUAGAUUAGAACACCUCGCAAAACAAAAGGAUUUCCUUGGGCUGAGAGAAGGUGUUGUUGGGGGGAAGGUUUCUCAAAGAACUCCAACAACUUCCUUGGUGGAUGAAUCUUGUGUGUAUGGUAGGGAUGGAGAUAAAGAAAAGCUGAUGAAACUGUUGUUAUCUGAUGAUGCAAGCGACAAGGAUGUCUCCGUCAUCACCAUAGUGGGAAUGGGCGGGGUUGGCAAGACAACCCUCGCUCAGCUCCUUUAUAAUGAUGAAAAAGUGAAAGAGCAUUUUAAUCUUAGAACCUGGGCUUAUGUUUCGGAAGCUUUUGAUGUUACUAGGGUAACUAAGUCCCUACUUGAGUCAGUCAGUUCAAAAGCUUACGAUAAUAAAGACCUGAGUUUUCUUCAAGUUGAGCUAGGACAACAAAUAAAGGGCAAGAAAUUUCUGUUUGUGUUGGAUGACCUUUGGAAUGAGAACUAUGGUGAUUUGAGUCUCUUGCAACGUCCUUUUGCAUCCGGGGCAAAGGGAAGUUGGGUCAUCGUGACAACACGUAACGAAAGUGUUGCAUCUCUCGUGCGCACCAUUCCGAUUCACUUUUUGAAACCCUUGUCUGAUGAGGAUUGCUGGUUGUUACUUUCAAAACACGCCUUCGAAAAUGGAAACUCAAGUGCACAUCUAGAUCUGGAAGAAGUUGGUAAGAAAAUUGCUUCUGAGUGCAAUGGUUUACCUUUAGCAGCAGAAACCCUUGGAGGCCUCUUGCGUUUCAACACAAAUUAUGAGCAAUGGAAUAGCAUACUAAAUAGCAAUAUUUGGGAGCUGCCUCCUGAAAAAUGUAAUACAAUUCCAGCUCUAAGAUUGAGUUACCAUUAUCUCCCAACUGAUUUAAAACGAUGUUUUGCUUAUUGCUCAAUUUUUCCGAAGGGCUUUGAAUUCCGAAAGGAAGAUAUUGUUCUACUGUGGGUGGCAGAAAGUUUAAUUCCACAAGCUGAGAGUGAGAAAAGUAUGGAAGAGCUCACUAAGAAAUACUUUGAUGACUUAUUGUCACGAUCAUUUUUUCAAAGAUCAACAAAUGAGAAGUUCACAAUGCAUGAUCUCAUCAAUGACUUGGCCAUGUCUGUGUCAAAGGAAUCCUGUUUGAGAUGGAAAGGGGGCGAAUCACAUGAAGUUUUGAAAAAAGUUCGGCAUUUGUCAUAUGCUAUAGGCCAAUUUGAUUGUGCUGCGAAAUUUGAGCCAUUAUAUGAGGUUAAGCAUUUGCGAACCUUCCUACCUCUAAGAAGCAAAGAAUGGUGGUUUGAGCAUCAUGUAAUAAGUAAAAGGGUUUUACCUGAGUUAUUGCCAAAUUUAACAUGUUUACGGGUGCUAACAUUGUCAGAAUAUGAUAAUAUUGUUGAGUUACCCAAUUCUAUUGGUAACCUCGUUCAUUUGCGCUACUUGGAUCUCUCUAAUACCGGAAUCAAAAGGUUACCUUCUAUAGUUUGCACUCUUUAUAGUCUACAAACAUUACUAUUGGCAAGUUGUCGGUCUCUUUUUGAAUUGCCUGCAGACAUGAGAAAAUUGAUUAACUUGAGGCAUCUUGAUUGUAGUGGAACUCAAAUUGAAGAGAUGCCGGUGCAAAUGGGUAGACUAAAAAGUUUGAGAACAUUGACUACUUUUGUUGUGGGGAAAUCUACUGGGUUGACUAUUGGCGAAUUGGGGGAGUUCUCCCAUCUUGGAGGAAAGCUUUCAAUUUUGAAGCUAAAUAAUGUGGUUGAUGGUAGGGAUGCCUUGCAAGCUAAUUUGAAGAACAAACAAGAUCUCAAGGAGUUAGAGUUGGCAUGGGGCUCCAAAGAUGCCGAUCAUUCCGAAAAGGUGAGAGAUGUGCUUGACAACCUCCAACCUUGCAUGAAUUUGGAGAAAUUGGCCAUCAAACUCUAUAGCGGGACCAGCUUCCCAAACUGGUUGGGAGACUCUGCCUUCAAUAAAAUAAAAGUUAUGCGCCUCGAAGGCUGUCAUUAUUGCUUCAAGUUGCCACCGCUUGGACAGCUACCUGCUCUUAAGGAUCUCUUCAUAUGUAAGAUGAAAUUUCUUGGGACGUUAGGUCAUGAGUUGUAUGGUCAGCCAUUUCAGUCAUUUCAAUCACUGGAGAAGCUGGAGUUUGAGGAGAUGGCAGAGUGGGAGGAGUGGGUACCAAGUGGAAGUGGAGGUCCAGACUUUCCUCGUCUCCAGGAGCUGAUUCUAAAAAAGUGUCCAAAGCUAAGAAGAAGCUUGCCUUGUGAUCUGCCUUGCUUGAAGAAGCUUGUCGUGAAAGGGUGUGGGGUUUUACAUGAUCAAAGGGUCACUGCUACUACUAGUACUAGUACUAGUCUCAACUACAAUUGUCUUGAAGAAUUGGAAAUAGAAGAUGGAUGCCAAACAGGUCUGUUAUCAUUACUAGAGACAAAGCUCCUGUCCCGACUUUAUGUUAGACGUUUUAAUGACAUACAGUGCUUGCCCAACAUCAAUCGUCUUCAAAGGUUGGCUCUCUCGACGUGUCCAACCCUGUCGUCGUUCCCUGAAGAUGGCCUACCCACUUCGUUGACUUCACUUAACAUAUACAGUUGUAGGAGAUUAGAAUUCCUACCUCAUGAGAUGUUGGCCCAAUUAACAUCGCUUGUCUCUUUGACGCUCUUGAAUAGCUGUGAUUCAAUGAGGUCCUUCCCCUUGGGCAUUUUUCCCAAAUUGACGACACUUUAUUUUUGGAAUUGUGAGAAUCUGGAGUCGUUUUGCUUGAUUGAAGAAGAAGGAGCGGUUGAGAAUCUCAGCCAUCUCAAUUACUUAAAUAUCGCGGGCUGUCCAAAUCUGGUGUGUUUUCCCCAUGGAGGAUUGCCCACUCCCAACCUGACUUAUUUGGAAUUCAGCAGAUGCGAGAAGUUGAAGUCAUUACCUGAACGCAUUCACACCCUCACAGCCCUAAGAUAUUUGUAUAUAAGGGAUCUUCCAAGUCUGGAGUCAAUUGCAGAUGGGGGUUUGCCUCCCAACCUCCGAUAUUUUAUAAUUGAGAAUUGUGAGAGACUGAGGGCUUCAUCUUCAUCAGUGGGAGACUACUGUAACUGGGGUUUGCAAGCACUUGUCUCCCUUAAACAAUUUAAAAUUUGUGGCAGGGGAAGUGAUGAAAUCUUGGAGACGUUGCUCAAGCAACAGCUGCUCCCUACCACUCUUUGCACUCUCGGCAUCGAGGACCUUUCAACUCUGAAAUCUUUGGAUGGAAAGGGACUUGCACACCUUACUUCUCUUCAACAACUAUUUAUUAAUAGGUGUGACAGUCUGGAAUUCCUGCCAGGAGAGGCACUUCAACACCUCACUUAUCUUCAAGAGCUACAUAUUUCCAAUUGUCCGAGUCUCCAACUCCUGCCAGAAGAGGGUCUGCCACCAUCUCUUUCUUAUCUGAGAAUCUACAAUUGUUCUGCCCUGGAGAAAAGGUUUCAGAAUAAGACGGGAGAAGAUCAUUGGGACAACAUAUCUCACAUUCCAUGCAUCAAGAUAAAUGAUGAAGUCAUCAUAUGAUGAUAUGACUUCUCUCUCUCUCACAUAGAGACAAACAAACUCUGGUCAGGUAUGUACUUCAAAUAACCGCUUUAACUGCUUUUCUUCAAAUAACCGCUUUAACUGCUUUUUUUUUUUCAGUCCCACAAAUCAUUCCUUCAGCUACAAAGUUCUAUUUGAUGAGACUUGAAAUGUUGGAUGUGUACUUGCAGACUUGAGAAACUUUCCCAUGUUUGGAGGUCAAAGCAACUUGUGUAGGCAACCAUGCCGGAGGAGAGUUUACCAUUUUAUAUGGAUUUUUGUUUUUCGACAAACAAAUUGCGGCAAAGAAGGGGAAAGAAUGUUCUCAAGGUGGAGCUCUAGCAAGAGACCAGCAUUUGGACAAUGUGGUAAACGGAUCUCAAUCUAACAUAACAAGCAUCACUAUUCAUGAUUAGGUAAUCUUUCAUCAUAAAAUUCCUUUCCCUACGUAAUAACUUGAAAACGUCAUUUAUGAGUUUCCUUUGAGAUGGAUGAAAAUGUGUACAUAUGUAUGAAUAACUUGUGAGAGCUCAAGUUCUGGGACAGAUGACGUUGAGGAAACUUCAUGCUUGGUCUUGCACAAUACUAUGAUUUUCCUCCGGUAGGGAAUCACACAAGUGUUCCCAAUGCAAUGAAUAUUAAUGCUGCACACUUCAUUAAUGACUUGUUUAUUUAGAAGAAACAUUUUUUUAUUGGAAAAAGAUAGUAAAAUACCGCAGAAGUGAACAAGUACUCGUCCAUCACAGAACAGGAACAGAUCUGAACUUAAGAGAAAUACAACUGUAAGAGCUUUAAGAAAGAAAUUAUCCUUGAGCUGCCUUCCAUCCAUCCCUGAAUUGUGAUUAAACCAAUGCCAAGGUGAAAAAAGAUAGUAAAAUAAACAAGUACUCGUCCAUCACAGAACAGGAACAGAGCUGAUCUUAAGAGAAAUUCUAUAUAUACUAAAACCCAAUGCAACUAAACACUGUAGCUAAGCACAGUAAAAUUAUGAAAAUGCCUCUAUUUAAAACUGUACAGCCAGCUUUUCCUCUCCUUUUGCACAGUAAAAUUGCCAUUUUGCCCUUGACUGAUUGUUCUGUAUUUUUCCCGUUUUGCCCUCUCUUUCCUUGGGAUGUAACUAGCUGUUGUUUAGGGCUGAGAGGUGUCUGAUUGGAUUUCAACUAGCUGGUUGGAGAGCUACAGGGGUAAAAUGGGAGAGCUGUUGGUUCUUUACUGUUUAAAUCUGGAGGGUUCCACUGUUUUACAGAACCACCUUUUUUCCCACCGAAUUGCUUGCCUUCUUCGUUUCCAUUCUUCUCAUCUUCCUCUGCUCUUCCAAAGUGCUCACUUUCCAGCUCCCUUGGGUUCUAUCAAGAAGGGGAUUAAAUCUUACAGAUUCGCUGAGGUAUUUCCAGCGUUGUUAUUCUUAAUUUUUUUACUCAAUUGUCAAUUAAUUUUUCUACUCAAUUGUCAAUUAAUUUUUCUGACUUCUCUGUUCUCCCACCAAAGCAAUAUAUCACCACUGGUCUGAGAAAAACAGAGUGUAGUUUGUGAGAGAUGAUGCAAAGCCCAUUAAAUUGGUGACACAAACCAAACUUACAGCUAACAUUGGUGACAUAAACAGAUCAGUCAAAGCAUAAAAACCAAGUUUUUUUCACAAAAACAAGAGCAGAGAAUUUAUUUCUGAAAACAAAAUCCAUCAAGCACACACCUCUAAUUUGAAGCCUCUUCCACUGUCACUGAUCAAAUGGGUUUUACCGACUAACCUCCUUAAACAAAGCACCGUGUGUUGAGCUAGAGACUGGUAUAGCUGGUGGACGGGAAGGGCUCUGCCCAAAGAAGAAGAUUUCCUUCAAAUGGUAGACAACCAUGAAAUAGGCUAUUCCAGAUUUGGCCAGCAACCAUGCCUCAGCUCAACAAACCCAAUUAGAAAGAAAGAGAUUUUAUAGAGAGAAGUGAAGUGCAUGGGUCUCUCUGUUUAUGUGUGCUUCUGUGUGUGUGUGUGUGUGUGAGAGAGAGAGAGAGAGAGAGAGAGAGAGAGAGAGAGGCGUGUAAGAGGCUUUUGAGUUUUGUUUUUGUGCACACAACAUAGAGUGAGCUGGAGAGAUGGGUCAAGAGGUGAUGAGUACGACAACAUUGUACUUUUCUUUUGUUGGGUCUAUCUCAGCAUUGAACUUUUGUUUUGUUGGGUCUAAAUCAUUAUACUAUUCUUUUUUAGUUGUGUUUGUGUCGUAGCCAAAAGUUACCUUAUUCUUCUCUCAUUAAAAUUCCAUAAAAUGCUUGAACAAAACCAAUCAGGUUUCAACAAAAUAGAAAUUGGCAAUGAUUUUAUCUUAACCUCUAUUGGUUUUCUUUGGGGUUCUCAGGAAACAUUUCACUUGAUUUCUUGACUUGGUGGGCUUGAUUGAUUAUGAGUUUUGAGUCAAAUGUGCUCAUUGUGCAUAUCUGUUUAACUAGGCUUGAUAUUAAUAUAUGCAUAUUGUUUGAUCGUUAUAGAAUUCAGUUAAUUCUUUGAUAUAAUAAUAGAUAUUUGUAAUUGUGAAGUUGUUUACACAAAACUAAAUUUAUGUUGGUGUUAAAAAUAUAAGCAGGAUUUCAUAUAGUGAUGAAAAUUUUGUCAUCUUUUUCUCAUCCUGUGAUAACCUAUAUUUCUCUAAAAAUGUGAUUCGAUCCAAAUAUAAUUCAAUUAUUUGUUUAUUUCACAGCUUGAAUACACUAAAAAGCAAGGGACUAGACAUUUGCAUUCUGCUGUCAUUUUCGAGGUAUAAAAACUCCUCUAAUUCAUUGUUUUUUUAAAUUGAGCAUUAUUAGUCAUGUUAGUCAAUUGAUUUUAAUUAUUUUGUAAGAUUUUAUAUUUUAUUUUCAUCGAUUAUGCUUGCAUACAAGUUAUUUAGAAGUAAUCUUUAUUUUGUUGAUUGAUACAAGUUGGAUAUGCUUUAUUGCUAAAAAUUUUCUCCUCUUUUAAAUAUUUUCCCUUUGAUGUUCUCAUUGAACAUUUUAUCUAAAUCAUUAAUCUGGUGAACUUGGUUGAUUAUAAAUUUUGAGUUCAAUGUCUCAAUUGUACAUAUGGAUUUAACAAGGCUUUAUAUUAAUAUAUAUAUAUAUAUAUAUACUGUUCAAUCAUUAUGAACCGAAGUUGGUUGUCUGAUAAAAUAAUAGAUAUCUAGAAUUGUUAUAUUAUAUUUUAAUUUUUAUUCUUCUGCAGCUGUGUCUUUCUACAAAUAUAUUUUGAUCGAAUAAAAAUUAGUAUCUUUGCUUUGUAAUCAUGAUACAGUGAUAUAAAACAAUUUCGUACUAUGUACUUUCUUUAUAAUAUGUAUGCAUGUAUGUAGAUACACACACAUAUCCGAUCCAAAUAUAAUUCAAUCAUUUGUUUAUUUCACAGCUUGGAUACACCAAAAAGUAAGGGACUAGACAUUUGGAUUCUGCUAUCAUUUUCGAGGUAUAAAAACUCUUCCAAUUCAUUGUUUUCUAACAUUAACCAAUAUUAGUCAUCUUAAUCACUUGAUUUUAAUCAUUUUGUAAGAUUUUUUUAUUUUAUUUUCAUCGAUUGUGCUUGCAUACAAGUUAUUUACAAGUAAUCUUUAUUUUGUUGAUUGAUACAAGUUGAAUAUGCUUUGAUGCUAAAAUUUUCCCCCGUUUUAAAAUAUUUUCCCCUUGAUGUUCUCAUUAAGCAUUUUAUUUAAAUUAUUAAUCUGGUGAGCUUGGUUGAUUAUAAAUUUUCAGUUAAAUGUCUCAACUAUACAUAUCGGUUUAACAAGGCUUUAUAUAAUACAUAUAUAAUGUUUAAUCAUUAUGAAACAAAGUUAGUUGUUUGAUAAAAUAACAGAGAUUUAAUUGAUGUAUAAAAUUAAAUACUUUUGCUUUAUCAAUUUAAUUAUUUGGAUUUGAACCUAUUAACAAAAACUGUUCUUCUACUUAUGUAUUUUAGGUUGUUGCUAUCAUCUUGCUUUUGCAUACGUGUUGCUACAAGUGCUUAACAAAUUCUCUCAUUACAGAUCAGUAUUUUCUAACUUUUCAAAAAAACUGUGCAUAUCAUUUAUAACUAAUUGAUUAGCAAAUAUUAUAUCAUUUGAAGAUUUUCAUUUAUAUAAUUCUAUCAUCAUAUUUCUACAUUUAUUUUGCAUUCUUAGAAUUUAAAUGUUAUUAAUAAUGUGAAAUAUUACUUAUAUAUAUAUGUUUUUUUUUUUCUAGAUAUCAAUCUGUUUUUGGGAAAUUGAAAUCUUCGUUGAUAAUGUCGAAGAGAACUAGAAAACAAAUCAUGCAAGAACCUCAUAAUCUCAUCAUUUCAAAUGAUAUACAAGUCCCAAAUAAAAAUGUUUCUCAUAUUAAUGAUAAACAUCCAAGCGAGAAAAUUCUCAUCAACAGUGAUCAAAACAUUUCUCAAGCUGAUAACAAAAGACAAAAAUGUGUUGAAAGUACAUCAUCUAUCAAUGUGAAUACAGUUGAAACAGCAAUAGAUGAAAUUGAAUUUCAUCGUUUUAAUCAAAUGAGUAAAGGUCAAGCGAUCUUUCAAAGAAAUAGGCAAGGUGGGUGUUUCCCUUUGCUUCAAAAUUUUCUACUAAACUUGAACUACAUUGUUCUAUUACUAAUAACCUACAUUUAUGUUUUCUAUUCUCUCCAUUCUACACCCCUAUAGAAUAAUCUAAGAAUAUGCAGAUUUUGGAGAGAAGAAUCAUAAGUGCAUUUAUUGUGGUGCACUUUUUUGGUUACAAGAAUCCAUUAAACAAAGAUCUAAAAACAAUGAGCCUCUCUUUACUCUUUGUUGCCAACAAGGAAAAAUUAAACUUCAAAGUCCAAAACCAACACCCUGUUUUUUAGAAAAUUUGCUUGAUCCUAAUAAAGGGAAAAAAAGUGUAUUAUUCAGAGAAAAUAUCAGGGUUUACAAUUCUAUGUUUGCAUUUACUUCAAUGGGAGCCAAAAUUGAUAAAUCAAUUAACAAUGGAUCAAGCCCUUAUGUUUUCAAAAUCAGUGGUCAAGUUCAUCAUUUAAUGGGUUCUUUACUACCUCCUGAGGGUCAAUGUCCUAAAUUUUCCCAACUUUAUAUAUAUGAUACCCAUAAUGAGGUUAUGAAUCGGCUUGAUGCAGUUAAUUGUAAUAAAAAAAAAAUGAAAAGCUAGAUCAAAACAUUGUGGACAGUUUAAUUCAAAUGUUUGAUCAAACAAAUGAAUUGGUUAAACUUUUUCGAACAAUUAGAGAUAAAUUUGAAAAAGGUUCUCUUCCUCCUCUAAAGAUCACAUUGUUAGGCAGGCAAUCCAAUGAUAGCAAACAAUAUGAACAAUCAACAUGUGAUGAAAUUGGUGGUUUAAUAGUGGGAGAUAUAGGCCUUUUUGAUUCAAAUAGAGAUAUUAUAAUAGAAUUUAAAAGUGGAGAGUUAAAACGUGUGACAAAAUUAAAUCCAAAAUUCAUGUCUUUACAAUAUCCUCUUCUUUUUCCUUUUGGUAAAGAUGGGUAUACACCUGACUUAAAAUGGCAUUGUACAAACCAUGAAUCUAAACGAAGAAGAAUUUCUAUGAGAGCUUUUAUAGCUUAUCAAAUACAAGAAAGAGAGUUUCAAUUCGAUACAUUAUUAAAAGGUGGAAGAUUGUUCCAACAAUUUUUAGUAGACGCUUAUGCAACACGUGAAGAAGAUCGAUUAGAUUAUAUUAGGAAAAAUAAAAAAAAUUUAAGAAGUGAGGUUUAUAAAGGCAUUUAUGAUGCAAUUUCAAAGGGUGAUAAUGAUGCUAAUAAUGUAGGUCAAAGAAUGAUAUUACCUAGCUCAUAUACUGGAAGUGCUAGAUACAUACUUAACAAUUAUCAAGAUGCUAUGGCAAUUUGUAGAAAAUAUGAAAAUCUUGAUUUAUUUAAAACUUUCACCUGCAAUGUUAAAUGGCCCGAAAUUGUAAGAGAGUUUAAUGCAAAACCUGGAUACAAACUAGAAGAUCGGCCUGAUAUAGUUUCAAGAUUAUUUAAAAUAAAACUUGAUGAUAUGAAUAAUUAUAUCAAAUCAGGAGAACCUUUUGGAGAAAUCGAAGCAUGUAUAUUUAAAAACACACCAUUUAUACUACUCUCCAUUUUUAUCAUUUUAUUAAAUAAUAAAACUAACUAAGAAUUUUUUCCCUUUUUUCACCCAAUCAACACAGAUGUUUGUACUGUCGAAUUCCAAAAAAGAGGAUUGCCACAUGCUCACAUGUUGAUUUGGUUAAAACAAAAUUAUAAAUAUUAUUCAGCAGUUGANNNNNNNNNNNNNNNNNNNNNNNNNNNNNNNNNNNNNNNNNNNNNNNNNNNNNNNNNNNNNNNNNNNNNNNNNNNNNNNNNNNNNNNNNNNNNNNNNNNNNNNNNNNNNNNNNNNNNNNNNNNNNNNNNNNNNNNNNNNNNNNNNNNNNNNNNNNNNNNNNNNNNNNNNNNNNNNNNNNNNNNNNNNNNNNNNNNNNNNNNNNNNNNNNNNNNNNNNNNNNNNNNNNNNNNNNNNNNNNNNNNNNNNNNNNNNNNNNNNNNNNNNNNNNNNNNNNNNNNNNNNNNNNNNNNNNNNNNNNNNNNNNNNNNNNNNNNNNNNNNNNNNNNNNNNNNNNNNNNNNNNNNNNNNNNNNNNNNNNNNNNNNNNNNNNNNNNNNNNNNNNNNNNNNNNNNNNNNNNNNNNNNNNNNNNNNNNNNNNNNNNNNNNNNNNNNNNNNNNNNNNNNNNNNNNNNNNNNNNNNNNNNNNNNNNNNNNNNNNNNNNNNNNNNNNNNNNNNNNNNNNNNNNNNNNNNNNNNNNNNNNNNNNNNNNNNNNNNNNNNNNNNNNNNNNNNNNNNNNNNNNNNNNNNNNNNNNNNNNNNNNNNNNNNNNNNNNNNNNNNNNNNNNNNNNNNNNNNNNNNNNNNNNNNNNNNNNNNNNNNNNNNNNNNNNNNNNNNNNNNNNNNNNNNNNNNNNNNNNNNNNNNNNNNNNNNNNNNNNNNNNNNNNNNNNNNNNAAGAUGUGGAAACCUAGCAACGAGAAUCCGAUCCCUUGGCAGAAUAGCUUAUGUACAUCCUGCAUCUGGUGAAUUAUAUUAUUUAAGAAUGCUUUUGAAUUUGCAAAAAGGGGCUUUUCACUUUAAUGACCUAAAAACUAUUAAUGGUAUUAUAGAACCAUCAUACCAAGCUGCAUGUAAAUCCCUAGGUUUGUUAGGAGAUGAUAAAGAAUGGAUUGAAGCCUUAGCAAAUGCUGUAAACACAGCCACAUGUCCUCAAUUAAGGCAAUUAUUUGUCACAAUCAUUUUAUUUUGUGAUGUAGGAAAUCCUCAAAUCCUUUUUAACACUUAUUGGCAAAAUAUGUCUGAAGACAUUUUACACAAAUUACGACAAACUUUCGAAAUGCCAAAUCUAAUUGUAUCAGAAUCAGAAUUAAAAAAUUCUCUUUUAUUUGAAUUAGAACAGCUUUUCAAUGUAUCUUCCAGCUCUUUAAAAGAGCAUCACCUUCCUAUGCCUGAUGAAUAUAGAAUGUUAGAACUUAGAAAUAAAUUGCUUAGAGAAGAAUUAAAUUAUGAUUAUAAUAAUUUAGAAAAAGAACACUCCAUUUUAGUUACACAACUUAACAAAGAUCAAAAAGAUGUAUAUGAUUGUGUUGUAAAAACUAUUGAAGAAAAAAUACCAGGUCUUUUUUAUGUCCACGGUCAUGGAGGAACAGGGAAAACUUUUUUGUGGCAUACUAUAAUAAGUAAAAUUCGAUCCCAAGGAAAUAUUGUUUUAGCUGUUGCUUCAUCAGGAAUAGCAUCAUUAUUAUUACCUGGUGGUAGAACAGCUCACUCUAGAUUUAAAAUUCCCCUUAAUUAUUAACAAUUGCUCAACAUGUCAAAUAAAAAAAGGAACUCAUCUUGCCAAAUUAAUUGAAAAAGCUGCUUUAAUUGUUUGGGACGAAGCUCUUAUGAAUCACAAACAUUGUUUUGAAGCAUUAGAUAAAUCACUUUCUGAUAUUUUAUCACAUUUAAAUCCUUUAGAUAACAAUGUUCCAUUUGGUGGGAAACCUUUAUUAUUAGGUGGUGAUUUCAGACAAAUAUUACCAGUUAUUCCAGGAUGAACAAGAGAAGAAAUAAUAGAUGCCUCCCUCAAUAGCUCUUAUUUAUGGCCUUUUUUUAAAAUAUUCCAUUUAAAAGAAAAUAUGAGACUCUCGAAAAAUGGAUUAAACAUUGAAGAAAAACAAAAAAUAAAUGAUUUUGCUACAUGGAUUUUGCGCAUCGAUAAUGGUCAAAUUGUUGAUAUUGAUGAUCCAAAUGAUAAAGAUGCAUCUUGGAUCAAAAUUCCUCAAGAUUUACUUAUACAUUCAUACACACAUCCUAUUCAUUCCAUUUUUUUAGCAACAUACCCAAAUUUUGAAAGAAAUUUCAAUAGAUUUUACUUAUUUAAGAGAACGAGCUAUUGUAACACCUCGAAACACAACUGUAANNNNNNNNNNNNNNNNNNNNNNNNNNNNNNNNNNNNNNNNNNNNNNNNNNNNNNNNNNNNNNNNNNNNNNNNNNNNNNNNNNNNNNNNNNNNNNNNNNNNNNNNNNNNNNNNNNNNNNNNNNNNNNNNNNNNNNNNNNNNNNNNNNNNNNNNNNNNNNNNNNNNNNNNNNNNNNNNNNNNNNNNNNNNNNNNNNNNNNNNNNNNNNNNNNNNNNNNNNNNNNNNNNNNNNNNNNNNNNNNNNNNNNNNNNNNNNNNNNNNNNNNNNNNNNNNNNNNNNNNNNNNNNNNNNNNNNNNNNNNNNNNNNNNNNNNNNNNNNNNNNNNNNNNNNNNNNNNNNNNNNNNNNNNNNNNNNNNNNNNNNNNNNNNNNNNNNNNNNNNNNNNNNNNNNNNNNNNCCAUGUUAUGCAAUGACAAUAAAUAAAAGUCAAGGCCCAAUCAUUAAACAAGUUGGAUUAUAUCUUCUCAACCUGUAUUCACUCAUGGACAACUUUACGUUGCAUUAUCCAGGGUUACAUCAAAACAAGGUCUUAAAAUCUUAAUAGAAAAUAAUCAAGAAGUACCAAAUAAUUACACUAAAAACAUAGUGUAUAAAGAUGUUCUUCAAAAUUUAUAAUGAAGUUCCAAUUUUGAUGUAUCCAUAAUUAAAUAUUUGUAUAUUUUUUUCUCAUGCCUUUUAAUAUAUAUAUGCAUGCAUUUUUAUGCUAACAAAAAAUUUACAGGUUUAAAGCACAAUGAGUUUCACUUAUAUCCGUGAUUUACAACCGUUCCAAUUUAACAAGAAACUCAAAGUGCGUAUUUACAGAAUGUGGCGACCAAAACUUAUUGGAUCUACUGAUCAAUUUGACGGCCUUCAGUGUAUCUUGGUUGACCAAAAGGUAAGAAAAUCUCUUUUCUAUGUUAUUUCAAUUUAAUUAUAAUAACACCACUUAAAGAAACCCUUUGUUUAAUAUCUGUUUCUAUUGAGCUCCCUUAGUUUUUGGUGGAUAUUGGCGUGUCAGUGUGUGUUCUUCCUAUUAUUGAUAUUGAACCCAUUUUUCUAGGAGGCCAUAACCAUAUAAAGCAGGUAUAAAUUUAGUCAAAAUGCUUCUGUAGAGGAUCUAAAUAAUUAACAAUAUUGCGGUAAACUGUGUUAUCUAUGGGCUUUGUUAGAUCUAGAUUCAUUAUAUAUAGUCUACUUACUUUUUUAUUUUUUAUUUUUUUAAAAAUGAAUGUAUUAUCAUAUAUUUGUAUUUCCUUCCUUUUAAAUAUAAUUUCCCCAUAUUAAUUUUCCUCUUCCUCUNNNNNNNNNNNNNNNNNNNNNNNNNNNNNNNNNNNNNNNNNNNNNNNNNNNNNNNNNNNNNNNNNNNNNNNNNNNNNNNNNNNNNNNNNNNNNNNNNNNNNNNNNNNNNNNNNNNNNNNNNNNNNNNNNNNNNNNNNNNNNNNNNNNNNNNNNNNNNNNNNNNNNNNNNNNNNNNNNNNNNNNNNNNNNNNNNNNNNNNNNNNNNNNNNNNNNNNNNNNNNNNNNNNNNNNNNNNNNNNNNNNNNNNNNNNNNNNNNNNNNNNNNNNNNNNNNNNNNNNNNNNNNNNNNNNNNNNNNNNNNNNNNNNNNNNNNNNNNNNNNNNNNNNNNNNNNNNNNNNNNNNNNNNNNNNNNNNNNNNNNNNNNNNNNNNNNNNNNNNNNNNNNNNNNNNNNNNNNNNNNNNNNNNNNNNNNNNNNNNNNNNNNNNNNNNNNNNNNNNNNNNNNNNNNNNNNNNNNNNNNNNNNNNNNNNNNNNNNNNNNNNNNNNNNNNNNNNNNNNNNNNNNNNNNNNNNNNNNNNNNNNNNNNNNNNNNNNNNNNNNNNNNNNNNNNNNNNNNNNNNNNNNNNNNNNNNNNNNNNNNNNNNNNNNNNNNNNNNNNNNNNNNNNNNNNNNNNNNNNNNNNNNNNNNNNNNNNNNNNNNNNNNNNNNNNNNNNNNNNNNNNNNNNNNNNNNNNNNNNNNNNNNNNNAGCCUGAAAGUUAAACAAUUUCAAGGUAUCCAAUUUAUUUUCACUUUUUCCUAUUAUUUACACUUCAUUUCAAAUAAAAACAAAUCUAAUUUAUUAUUUAUCAAUAUGUAGGGAAAAUUGUUCUCAACAGUAGUGUCUCCACAUUAAUUUUUAUCAAUCCAGAUGUACAAGAAUUGGCGGCCUACAAAACGAUGUAUGAAUUUUUAUCAUUUUUGUUUUAACAUAUACCUUUGUUUCCCCAUUUUUCUAAAUUAACACCUCUUUUUUAUUAUAUAAAAAUAACAAUAACCACAGCUUUAAUGACUCUACACAUGCCAUUAAAAUGAUGCCUUCUUCCGCCACUCAACUAAUGACACCUCAACAUUAAGAAGCUGCUAAAAAACUAUCUGUCCAAGAGUUAAAUGUUCUUGAUCCAAAGACACAUAAGGUAAAUACACUAACUUCUUUCUUUAAUCUCUUUAUUAUUCAUAUUUUAACAUACAAUUUCACAAAUUAUUUAAACUAAAUUUCACUUUAUUCUUCUCUUAGCGCUAUAUAUUUUAUAAUUGUUUUUGCUAUAUUAAUAUAUAUUUUUUAAAUAUAUUUUAGGACACUCCCAUUUUAUGCAAAACAGCUAUUACGCGUUUUGACACACGUAACGGUUGGUGGUAUAAAGCAUGUCCAUCUUGCUUUAAACAACUUAGAACUGCUGCCCACCGUGAUGAACUUUUGUGCCCAAAACACAAUAAUCAAAUUCCUCUCCCUUGGUAAUACAAAUCUCAACAAUUUGUUUCAUUUUAUUUUUCCAUAAAAUUUAAACACAAUUAUUUUAAUUAUUAAAACAUUACAUAAAUUUUACAUACAGGUUCAAAGUGAGCUUGGUGCUUGAAGAUUCAACUGAUGAAACCAAUGCAAUCAUAAUUGGAAGACCAGCAGAACAGUUGUUUAGAAUUUCUUGCAAUGAAUUGGUUGUUCAAAGAGGUUUAAUCGACCAACAACAAUUGCCAGAUGCAAUUCUGCAAACAAGAGGACAAGUUAAAAAUUUUCAACUUCGAUUUGGGAGCAUGAGAGGUGAUUUCAAUAGAAAUGAUCUACUCAUUCAAGCAAUCUUCGAUGACACAAUGCCACUUCUUGAACCAACAUCGCAAUCAUCUGACAAAAGUUUGGCUGCACAUGAUACAGAAAACAUUGGUACCCAAAUGGUUCCACCCAUUACCCCACUUCUCUCAAAGCAAAUUCCAAGUGCAUCUUCCACAAGCUCAGCUGAUGCUUCUAUAACAGAAGCUACCCCAAUUUCAAAAAAAAACAUACAUAGACGCUGUCAAAAGAGCUCUCUUUACCUUUCGUCCAUCAAAAAAACCAAACAGGUUAGAAUUUAUAUAAUAAUUAACUCCUUUAUAUCAAUAUUUACGCAUAUUCUAACAUUUACCAAUAUAUUUCUUUCUUUUCCAUUUAGCAUUUCUUUAAGUCAUGUUCAAACCGAAAACGAAUCUGAAAACAUGGUUGCAACAAAAAGCAUGGAGGAAAUUGUAUCAAAUUCUGAUUUACCAAUCAUUGGCUUAAAGAAGAAAUCAAGCAUGGAGAGUUUGGCAACCAGUACUCCUACCCCGAAAUUAGAGUUUGUAUUCUCUAAUUCACUCAUCUCAUUUAAAUACAUAUUACAUGCAUAAUAUUCAAUUAUUCAUACCUUCUGUCAUAUUCUGAUUGAUGCUUUGUUUUAAUAUAUUAUAAGAUUAUCUCUACUUAUUAUAUAGGUGUAAAAACCAUUUAACCACUAUUGAAUUAAGUAUAAAUGAAAUUUUUGCAUGCUGAAUGUUUGGAAAUACUAUUAAAUUGUCAUAUUUACAGGUGAAUUUUUUUGGAAAAUUUCCGUUUUUCAGGGGAGGUUCUGCCCGUUUUUCAACAGAAAUGUCAAGCCCUUAAGUAAUUUUAACUCCAAAUAAGGGCAAAAGAGUCAUAUGUUCCUAAUACAUAAGAGAAUUAAAAGCCUAAACAUUAUAUUUACAUCCUUUUUUUCAAUUUUUCUUCAAUAUAUCCAACCAUGAUUAUUUUACCUCUCUUCAACUUUUCCUUUAGAUAAACACAGAAUUUAAAAUAUGUUUACUUUGUGUUACUUCAAUUGGAAAACCAUCUACAGCUUGCUCAUUAGUUCUCUUAAUUUUGUUACUUUGUGUUUCCUAGAUUGGAAAACCAUUUAUAACUUUCUUAUUAAAUUGUUAAAUUAUAUUAUUCAUGUUUAUACAUAAUUAGAUGUUUAUGAUUAUUGUCCUAACUCAAUUUUCCCCAUUCAUCAACAUUAACAUUUACUAUUUUCCCACUUUUUUAUAACAGGGUCAAGACCUCCAUCAAAGAAAAGAAAAAUCAUGAAGAAAUUGCAAAACAAAAUUCGCCCAAUUAAACAGCAUGCUGGUCAAAACUAUCCAAAUUUUGCUAUUUUGAUGGCUACUUCCCACUAUUAACAUCUCAAUGUAUAUACAAACAAGUCUCUACUAUUUUAACAUAACAAGUAGCCUGUAAAAUAUGUUAUUACUUCCUUUUUGGCAACUUAUACUCCCUUAGUUAAACAUAAUGCUACAAGUUAAAUCUCAUUGUAUAUAUAAACAAUCUUACUUUGUCUACGUAAUUUCAAAACCCGCAGCAUCGCACGGGCUUUUCUGCUAGUACAACUGUAAGAGCUUUAACAGGAACAGAGCUGCCUUCCAUCCCUGAAUUGUGAUUAAACCAAUGCUCAAGGUGAAGAUAGGAACCUCACCCUAUUCGGAAGCUCUUCCAUCCCCAACCCCUUUUAAUUGUCGAGAACCCUCCUAUUCCUCCCCUUCUGAUGUUAGCCAACUCACUCCAGCCUUCCUGAAUAAUACAUACCACAAAUUUGAGAUACUGGUCUACAUUCUCCCUGGUUUAUUUUGCUUCCCCAUUGUUCUAAUAGAUAACACCCUUGCCUUCUCAUCUGGUUUACUCAUUUGCCAGAGUGUUAGGAAUGAAGACCAGAAGGCCGGUGUCCAGAUUUUCCUCAUCUCAAGGACCUGACUUUAGACAAGUGUCUGAAGCUAAGAGGAAGCUUGCCUUCUCAUCUUACUUGCUUGAAAGACUUAGCUUGUCAUCCGGGUGUGGGGUUCUACAUGAUGAAAGGGCCAGUACUACUUGUAACAUGGAAUAAUGUCUUUGAAGAAUUAGAAAUAUAUGAUGGAUGCCCAGGUCUGUUCUCGUUACUGUUCGUGCUCCUAUUUGAUACGAUGCCAUUUCCAAUUCAAAAACUUUUCAGGUAUGUUAAGAAAGUAUUACACAACUAGAUGUUUAUGAUUCAAAUUCAAAACAAAGCACAAAUUGGAUUCAUAUAAAUCUACCUAAUUGCCGCGCCAUUGAUUGUAACAAUUGAUAAUUGAAUAUGCAUCUUUCAGUGUCGUCCCCUUUAAGUUUUUAGCGUAUCAAUUAGUCUCUAUCAUCUCUAUUUUCUUGUACAUUACAUACUUGUUGGUUGGAAAUUAGUUUUCAGAAGCUACAUGAGUUGGGGUUAACUAGAGAAAUUAGUUUGUUCAUAUUCUGUCGGUCCUUUUCUGUGCCUUUCACAUCCGAAAGGUUUGCUUUCUGCAAUUAUUCGAACUACAGUUCCAUUUCAUUAGAAUUUUUUUUCUUUGUUGUAUCUCUAGACUCUCUGCGUAAGAUUCCCAAUGGGAACUACCCCAACUUGACCCAAUUUGGCAUGGAUUUUGUAUUUUGAGAUUUCAAGCUAACUGCUGCUAAUGGAAGCCCUCCUUCUUUCACUUGUUAAUUCUUAGGGAAUAACAAUUUUACAUUCUAUUUACAUUUACAACUGAAGAAAACUAAAGCGCAUUGCAUGCUCUUUUAUGGUAGAAUGACCUUAUCAUCUUCCUACAAACUCGAGAAAUGCAUGCUCUGAUGUGUUGAAGUUGAAGAUUUCGAGAAAGAAUGAAAGCUGUAGCAGAAAACAUAGGGCUGAGAUCUCUCCAAGGCAUUGCUCCACUCUCUCACAAUCUCUGUUCCUUGUAUUAUGAAGCUUACAGGAUUACUCAUUACUGACCAUCAUCACAUGAUCUUGUAGGUGAUUGUGGGGAGGUUUGCCAAUUGACCUUGUGAAAUCAAAAAAGAAAAGUGAGUUUGCUUUUUUAUAUUUGAAAGUUGGCACCUUUGUUUAUAUUCUUUGCACUAGACCGUUGCUCAGAACCAUCCAUCUUAAUCUUUCUGAUCAUUUACAAGGUCCCUGAAAUUGGUACAUAGGUGACGAGGGGUAAAUUUAAAAGAUAUUCAAUCAAGAACGUAACAACCUUCACACUCUAGACCUUGACCAAAUACUCUUAUGACUAGUCAACUGUUAGAUAUGAAUUAUACUAAACAAUAACAUACACAGAGCAUACCAAGAUGUACCUGCAGGCCUAGAGAAUUACUAGUGACAACCUAGGCACUCAGAAGGACCCAUCAAUCUAGGCAUCCUCUGUGCUAGCAACAACUAUGGUGAAAGUGUGUGAAGACAACAUAAUCAAGCAAACACCAAACAGCAGAAAAAGAUGACUAGUCAACCGCACAAAUUCAGAUGACUGGUCAACUAUCAAGAACACAAACCCAGAAAAUUUACAGAGAUGGAAACCAGAAAUUGUUCACCCAGAAACCCACCAUUGGGAAAAACUGGGGGUCAUCAACCGACCAGGCAAUCCACUAAGUAGAAAAAGAUUCUUACAAAGGAACACAAGCAAGCUCAAGCAAAACCUAGAUCUAUUUAGGAAGAUGAGCAAUACCUCCUUUGUGCAAUCUUCUUCUCCAACUUAGCAAAGCUUGAAGCUCAGUUCUUCAUGGCAAUGGCAGCUCCUCCAGCUCUUUCAUCCCAUGGCACUAGCUUGCAAGCUCUAACUCAGACAGAAAUGAAAUUUGGAUUCAUGGAGAAAAUGACCAAUUUCUUCAAGAAAACAUACUCUUGAAGAAAUCAAUCUUGAAUCUGACCUAGAUGUAUAUGAUAGAGUGUUUGAUCUAGCAAGAAGAAGUUUUCAUAUUUCAAAUGUAGUUUUCAAAAAGAAACAAUUUGGAAAACUCAAAGAUGAAAAAAAUGAAGGUCACUCUUGAGGAAGAAGAAGCGAAAGUUUGCUAUGAAACUUUCCAAAACUCCUCCCCAAAAGUGACGGCUUCCCAAAGAGGAAUCACAAGGCCUUUACAGACCAAAAAUUCCCUUAGGUUAGAAUCCCAUGUGGCAGCCAAGAGAUAAAAAAGAAUAGGACAAAAAAGUUGUUUAUCAAGCUGGAGAGCAAGGAUGACUAGUCAUCCAAGAAACAGAUGACUAGUCAUCAUUUUAUGAAAACAGUAUAAUGCAAUGUUAUGCAAUGCACAAUUUACCUUUGCCAAUUUGCAUGAACCUCCAUAUGAUAGUUGUUAGUUAAGAACACCUAGAGAAGCUAUUCUCAAUCUAAACUUGAGCUUGAUAAAUAACAAUAGAAAUCCUAUUACAAAGUUGUCAAGGGAAGCCAAAAGAAAAACCCAAAAUGCAUACAUUAACAGUCCCUUGACGGCAGUGGAAGGGGCACAUGUUUUUUACUGAAGGGAUACUUAACGACAGCAAUAAACUUAACAUCCUUAUUAUAUGCAGACAGUUCAUUUGUGUUUGGAGGGGCGGCCUUCAUCUGAUCUGACCACAUGGAAAAGCUCUCUUUGUGUUGAUGAAGAAUUCUUCAUCUCAAACAAGAUAAAACUGAUGUUAAACCCUGGGGGCCACGUCUUCGUUUGGUUUUCUUGCAAGAAACUGAUGAUAAACUGAUGUUAGUGCUCGUAUUGAAAGAUUAUAGCUUUGUCUAUGAAUUCUUCAAGGACAGCCAGUCUGAUACUGAUUGUUGUUUCCAACAAAAGCUUUGUCUCUACACAUUAUAGCUUAUUCGUCGAAUGUUACAUAUAUUCAAUGUUUCCAUACAUUUCCAGAAUUUUGACAAGCAAACGGUCAUUCAUUGAAGUUCAAUAUGAAAUCUUCUGAGGUUGUCUAUGCAAUGGGAUAAGCUGCUCAUGUUAUGACCCUUCUCUUCCUAGUUCCCAUGACAAUCACAAUAUUAUGCCUCCACUUAAGCAAAUUAGAAGACACUUCGGAGUUCGGAUAUUAAAAGUAGAAUGCUACAUGCACAACUCAUCAUAAAAUCUCUCUUAAAAAUUUUGAGCGUUAACAAGUAAAUAAACAUUCACUCACAUUUUAUUUGCACUUAAAAAUUAAAAUUGUUGUGCAUGGAACUAAAUUGACACUGAUUUUAUUUUAUACCUUCUCUUUCUUAUUUCCAUGAGUGAAUUUAUGUUUUGCUUGCUAAUGCUCAACAAUUUUAAGACAAAUGCUCUAUGAUUAUGCCUCAGUUUUAAUUUGUCAUCUUAAUUUUUCAAAAUCCAUGAUUUGUCUUUAAGACCAUCCAAUUUUCCAUAUAUUUUAAGGGUAUUUUAGUCUUUAUAUUUUCAAGGGUAUUUUAAACAUGGAAAAUUCAUUAUAACACAAAUUGUAUAUCUUUUAAACAAUUAAAAUUGGAAAAGAAAAAAAAAUUGCCUUCCCCCAUCCCUUGUGUGUUGACCAGGCAACAUUGUACACGACUCGUUAACACGACACGAAUUCGAAAAAAAAAAAUUCAUUUUUCGGGUAUGAGUUAUCGGGUCGUGUUGCUAUCGUGUUGACCCGUUAGCCACAUGAUAAGCUAACGGGUCGUUUCAUGUUCAUUCGCGAAAACACGAAUCAACCCGUUAAGCGAGUGUAUUUUUGUAAUUUUCUAGCAUUCUGCGUUCAUUACUCUUCAUCCCGCCUCCAUUUCUACUAGGUUUUCAUUUUCAUAUUGUUUGUUUUGUCAAUAAGCUCAUUUCUGUCCAAAUUUCAAUUUUUUCUGACUUUUUGCUGGUGGGUUUUGCAAAUUCUUUACAAAGAUGAAUGAUUUUAUGACUAAAUUGUUCUUAAGUUAUGUGGAAUUGAAGAAACAGGGACAGAAGGACCUCGAAGCCGAUCUUGAUGUUGAAGGAGGCCAAGGCAAACCAACUCAGCCUGUCAGACCAAGAAAAUCUCUCUUAGUUUUUCCAAGAAGUCAUAGCAAUCAAGAGCGAAAUGGAAGAGAUAACUAAAGACUUGUAUGAUCUUCAGAGUUUUAAUAUUUUAUUAUUUCAGUUUUUUAAAAUUAUUUUUAAAUUUUUUUAUUAUUAUUAACAGGUGAAACGGGUUGUGUCGUGUUGUGUGAUUUGCAAAUUGUAAUGGGUCGUGUUCGUGUUUGACAUUUUCAGCUCGUUUUCUUAUCGUGUCGUGUUGUGUCAACCCGUUAAGAAAAGCGAGUUGACACGAAAACGACACGUACAUUGCAAAAACGACAUGAAUGCCAAGUCUACUUGUGCCAUCAUUGGUUUCCUACAACCAAAAAGGUUCAUUCCUAUAUGCCAUCAUUGUGGCACAUUAGGACACAUUAGACCAAAGUGUUUUGAUUUUAGGAAUUUUGAGCAAAAGCCUUUUGUUCAUUUCAAGAAAGUAAAUGAUGACUCACUUCAAACUCAAGUGAAUGAUUUUCUUUAUAAAGUUGUCAAAAUUCCUAAGGUUAUCUCUUUGCCUCAUAAAGUCUCAAAAGUGAAGCAAGUUUGGAUCAAGAAGGAAGACCAUGUUCUUCCUCAUGUUGGUGACUAGUUUCUUUAUUUUAUGUAUCUAGACCAUUCUCUUAUUUGUGUGUGCUUCAUGGAGUCUAGAUACAUUGUCAUGCAUUUGCACCUUGUUCUUUUGUUUUAUUAUUUUUAAAUGUGGUCAUUGCAUGCAUAUCUUUCAAUCAUCUCUCUCACAGUGCUUUGAAUCUUGGGUGAUCAACAAAAUUUCAUGUUCUUUUGAACUUGUUCACAUUUAUCUUGUUGGUCUUGUCCAAACAUUUUCCCUAAAUGGCAAGGAAUACAUCCUAUCCAUUGUAGAUGACUUCUUUGGGUUUAUUUAGAUCUCACUCUUGCUUGAAAAAUCAGAGACCUUUCAAAGGUUUAAAUCUGUCUACCAUCUUUUACAAAAAGUUAAAAUGACUAGUCAUCUGCCUCUUGUUAGAAUUAGAACAGAUCAUGGUUCUGAGUUUGAGAAUUCUCAGCUUCUGAAAUUUUGUGAGGUGAUGAGAAUUAAGCAUGAGUUCUUUGCACCUAUUACACCUCAGCAAAAUGGUGUUGUGGAGAAAAAAAAAUAGAGUUCUUGUUGAGAUGGCUAGGGUGAUGCUCAAUAGCAAAAAUUUUGCUAAACAUUUUUUGGGUUUACAUCUCAAACAGGGAGUUUUUUAGGUAUGGUGCCAAACAAACUCCCUAUGUGCUUUGGAAAGGUAAGAAACCUAAUGUGUCUUAUUUUAGAGUCUUUGGUAGCACAUGUUUUAUCUUAAGAGAUUGGGAACACCUUGCUAAGUUUGACUCUAAAAGUGACGAAGGAAUUUUUCUUGGGUAUUCCACUUCAAGCUGAGCCUAUAUAGUAUACAAUUAUAGGACCGGAACCAUCAUGUCAAUGUUGAUGACUUUGCUGCCUCUAUUGAGACGGCAUGAGAUGAGGAUGGUCUUUUAUCUUCUAUGCUUUAGGGAGAAUCUCCAGGUCUGGAUCUAGUGGUUGACCUGUCAACCUUUAGCAAAUCAGUUGACCAGUCAACUCUUGACAAUUCUGUUCCAGUUGACCUGUCAACUUGUCAUAAUCAACCUCAGAAUCUCAGCUCAUCUGUCCCUGUUGAAAACUUUCUAUAGAAGCAAGAUAGGAAGCCUUCUAUACUUGACUGCAAGUAGACCUGAUAUUUCCUAUAGUGUAUGAGUUUUGUGCUAGGUUCCAAAGUGAUCCCAAAGAGUCUCAUUUGUUUGCUGUCAAAAGAAUCAUAAAAUAUGUGAGUAGAACUUUUGAGUUUGGGUGGUAGUAUACUUGUGACACUUGUGUCAAUCUUGUUGGGUAUAGUGAUGCCGAUUGGGCAGGUUGUAGUAAUGGUAGGAAAAGCACUUCCGGGAGGGUCUUUUAUGUAGGCAACAAUCUUGUUGCUUGGCAUAGCAAAAAAUAGAAAUCUAUCUCCUUAUCCAUUGCUGAAGCAGAGUAUGUUACAUCUGGGAGUUGCUGCACUCAACUCCUUUGGAUGAGACAAAUGUUGGAAGACUAUGGUCUUGCUCAACCAUGCUUUCUAAUCUAUUGUGACAACAUGAGUGGUAUAGAUAUUUCUAAAAAUCCUGUUCAACACUCUAGGACUAAGCAUAUAGACAUUAGGCACCAUUUUAUUAGAGAUCUUGUGGAAGACAAAAUUCUAUCUUUGGAAUUUGUUCCCUCUGUGAAACAGCUAGCAGAUAUACUCAACAAGGCCUUGGACUUUCAUAAACAUGUCACACUUAGGUAGUCCAUUGGCCUUUGCUCAAUUGAUUGAUUAGCUUGUCUGUUCCUUAUCUUCAGCUCAUUGUAGAACUGUUGACUAGUCAUCUUCGUUUUAGUUGACUAGUCAAAUAUAAAUUUUUGUUUACUUGGUGUGCAAAUGUCAAAAACAUCUGUUUCUUCUGAUCUCUGAUGGUGCGAAGUUUGAUUCAUUUUAUGCUUUGCCUGAUUUGUGUAUAAUUCCCCCUUCUAGUUUGGAGCCAUUAGAUGAAAAUUUUUGGUGUUUUUAUGUCCUCUUGGUGAGACAAGUGUUGUGAUCCAUUGUGGACAAUCAUUGUUAUAAUCUCCUAUCUUAUAUCACUCUCGUAGGCAAUUUGUUUAUAAAUAAAAAAAAAGAAAAAAAAAAGAAAAAGGGAAGUGUGACCAAUGUAGUCACGACUCUAGGAAGGUAUAAGGUGAUAUGAUUGAAGAAUCUAGAGCAAGAGCCGCAAAAUUGGGCCACUUAUGCACUUAAGUCUGGGAUGUGCAAAUAAUAAACAUAAUAAAUGGCCAGAUUGAGUGAUGAAAAUCAAAUAGGUUGAGUCUAUGCUUUGAGUUUGUCUUGAAGGUUCAUUAUAUACUUGUCUCUCCAAGAAUGAUAUUUCUUCAUCUCUUGUGUUUUUCUUUUGGCUCUGAACCUCCUCUGUCCAUCUUGCCUUAUCUCUGAGCAUGAAAUCUAAUUCAUAUUCUAUCUAUCAGAGUUAGUUGCAAUUGUUUUGUUUGCACAUGUGGUUAUCUUCUCUCUCGCUUACUCACUGUGCUUGAAGACUUGGACUAGGCUAUAGUAGCUAAUACAUCGUUGAUCACUUGAUAUAUUUGCUAGUUCAUGUUUGUGUUUUUAAAAUCAAAAUCAUGUCUUCUUCAGGGUCGAUACUAAAAUUGAUGCUUGUUAUGAUAUUGCUUGAGUUCACUAGUCAACAUAUGCUCAUGCUAAUUGUGGUUGACUAGUCAUCUGCUUAACAGGGAUCUUGUGACUUUUGGUGAAAUUAAUUUUCACUCUCUAAGAACCAUGACCAUUGGUUAUGACACAAAACACAAAGGUUCACUUGUCUUCUCCUUGUCGCAUUUAUACCUUCUGUUUCAACACUGGUACUGUGUUUAUGUGUGGUCGUGUUUGGAUGAUGCCACUUUGGUCUAUGACCCUAUCUUAAUAAGUUGUGUGUCCCACAUUCAAUGAUUUAGCCUAAUAUAAUCUUGAAAUCCUUAUGAGUCUGUUGUGCUAUAUGAGUUUUGGAUUGUUGGCUAAUCUAUUUUGUUGGGGGAGUUUCUUUGAGAUGCAUGUGUUUUGGCAACAUUCUUGCUGGUUGUUUUUAUCAUUUUCAUACAUCAAUGUUGCCUUCCUAAACAACUGUUCUGCUGGUCUUCCAAAUAUGAUUGCAUUGGUUUCAUCAGUUGAAUCUUCAAGCACCAAGCUCACUUUGAACCUGUAUGUAAAAUUUAUGUAAUGUUUUAAUAAUUAAAAUAAUUGUGUUUAAAUUUUAUGGAAAAAUAAAAUGAAACAAACUGUUGAGAUUUGUAUUACCAAGGGAGAGGAAUUUGAUUAUUGUGUUUUGGGCACAAAAGUUCAUCACAGUGGGCAGCAGUUCUAAGUUGUUUAAAGCAAGAUGGACAUGCUUUAUACCACCAACCGUUACGUGUGUCAAAACGCGUAAUAGCUGCUUUGCAUAAAAUGGGAGUGUCCUAAAAUAUAUUUAAAAAAUAUAUAUUAAUAUAGCAAAAACAAUUAUAAAAUAUAUAGCGAUAAGAGAAGAAUAAAGUGAAAUUUAGUUUAAAUAAUUUGUGAAAUUGUAUGUUAAAAUAUGAAUAAUAAAGAGAUUAAAGAAAGAAGUUAGUGUAUUUACCUUAUAUGUCUUUGGAUCAAGAACAUUUAACUCUUGGACAGAUAGCUUUUUAGCAGCUUCUAAAUGUUGAGGUGUCAUUAGUUGAGUGGCGGAAGAAGGCAUCAUUUUAAUGGCAUGUGUAGAGUCAUUAAAGCUGUGGUUAUUGUUAUUUUUAUAUAAUAAAAAAGAGGUGUUAAUUUAGAAAAAUGGGGAAACAAAGGUAUAUGUUAAAACAAAAAUGAUAAAAAUUCAUACAUCGUUUUGUAGGCCGCCAAUUCUUGUAUAUCUGGAUUGAUAAAAAUUAAUGUGGAGACACUACUGUUGAGAACAAUUUUCCCUACAUAUUGAUAAAUAAUAAAUUAGAUUUGUUUUUAUUUAAAAUGUAAAUAAUAGGAAAAAGUGAAAAUAAAUUGGAUACCUUGAAAUUGUUUAACUUUCAGGCUUGUAAAAGCUGCAAAUAUUGGCGAUGUCAAUUGUUGUAAAGCUUGGGAAUCAAAAGUUUUUGCAGUAUCUCCCCACAGGGUUAUUCUAACAUCUUCUUUCCUGAAUGAUUAGAUGUGGAGAAAAAAAUAUUUAGAAAGAGAUAUAAUAGUUUAAAAUUUGAAUUAUAAACAUUUUUUGAAUAUUUGUACCUGAUAUUUUCGAUGCAGACUUCACAUUUAUCCUCAAGCCUCUCAUUGCCCACAUUUUUUGUUCCAAUGGUUGUAUUCCAGUAAUGUGUCCAAAAACAUCUUGCAAUAUGAUAAAACAAAUAUCAUAAGGAUAUUAAAAUGUGGAAAUUUUUUGGAUAAAUACUUAUUGUAUAUAUAUGCAUAGUUUUUAAUACUAUAUAGAGUAUUACCUGUUAGGAUGUCAAUUUUGUCUAUGCGAGUGGACAAUUGAGUAUAAUCUACCAGAUAAAAUCGAUAUCGUGGAAUGUGUGGGUGAAUGGUUGGUAGUUCUUUGAAAGUUGUUCUCGCAUUAAAGAACAAUUGUGCAACAUGUGGUACAACUUUGUGAGAUGGUUUGUUGCGACCAGUGUGGAAAUGUGUUAUUUCAUAAAUGGAACCAGCUUUUAUUUUUGGAAAUACAAAAUCAUAGUCGAUCUCUUUGACGCUAGCUUGUAUUACAUCUGUCUACAUAAUUGAAAAAAGAGGAAGAGAAAAAUUAAUAAGGGGAAAUUAUAUUUAAAAGGAAGGAAAUACAAAUAUAUGAUAAUACAUUCAUUUAACAAAAAUAAAAAAAAUAAAAAACUAAGUAGACCAUAUAUAAUGAAUCCAUACCUAACAAAGCCCAUAGAUAAUACAGUUUACAACAAUAUUGUUCAUUAUUCAGAUCCUCUACAGAAGCAUUUUGACCGAAUUUAUACCUACUUUAUAUGGUUAUGGCCUCCUAGAAAAAUGGGUUUAGUGUCAAUAACAGGAAGAACACACACUUACACGCCAGCAUCCACCAAAAACUAAGGGAGCUUAAUAGAAACAGAUAUUAAACAAAGGGUUUCUUUAAGUGAUGUUAUUAUAAUUAAAUUGAAAUAACAUAGAAAAGAGCUUUUCUUACCUUUUGGUCAACCAGGAUACACUGAAGGCCGCCGAAUUGAUCAUUAGAUCCAAUAAGUUUUGGUCGCCACAUUCUGCAGAUACGUACUUUGAGUUUCUUGUUAAAUUGGAACGGUUGUAAAUCACGGAUAUAAGUGAAACUCAUUGUGCUUUAAAUCUGCAAAUAAAUAUAUUUUUUGUUAGCAUAAAAAUGCAUGUAUAUAUUUAUUAAAAGUCAUGAGAAAAAAUAUACAAAUAUUUAAUUAUGGAUACAUCAAAAUUGGAACUUCAUUAUAAAUUUUGAAGAACAUCUUUAUACACUAUGUUUUUAGUGUAAUUAUUUGGUACUUCUUUAUUAUUUUCUAUUAGGAUUUUAAGACCUUGUCUUGAUGUAACCCUGGAUAAUGCAACAUAAAGUUGUCCAUGAGUGAAUACAGGUUGAGAAAGAUAUAGUCCAACUUGUUUCAAUGAUUGGCCUUGACUUUUAUUUAUUGUCAUUGCAUAACAUGGUCUAAUUGGGAAUUGGCGCCUUUUAAAAAUGAAAGGCCAUUUGUUUUCAGUUGCUGUAAGGCUUAUUCGAGGUAUGAAAACUUUGUGACCAAUGUUACUACCAGCAAGUAUUUUUGCUUCUAUAAUUUUAUCAUACAAUUGUGUAAUAACUAAUCGUGUUCCAUUACACAAACCUGAAGAUUGAUUUAAGUUUCUCAAUAGCAUGAUGGGCAUUCCUAUUUUUAAAGCUAAAUAGUAUGAAGGUAAACCAUUAAAUUCAAGUUUGUUUAAAAAUUCUGUAGGAUAUAAAAUAGUAAGGUUUUCAGAAUUUUCAGAUGAUGAGCAUAAAGAAUCUGAGCUUAAAUAAAUGCGUUCUUGUCCAGGUAAUAAAUCAAUUGCAUAGUUAUUUAUUUCAGUUACAGUUGUGUUUCGAGGUGUUACAAUAGCUCGUUCUGUUAAAUAAGUAAAAUUGUUGAAAUUUCUUUCAAAAUUUGGGUAUGUUGCUAAAAAAAUGGAAUGAAUAGAAUGUGCAUAUGAAUGUAUAAGUAAAUCUUGAGGAAUUUUGAUCCAAGAUGCAUCUUUAUCAUUUGGAUCAUCUAUAUCAACAAUUUGACCAUUACCGAUGCGCAAAAUCCAUGCAGCAAAAUCAUUUAUUUUUUGUUUUUCUUCAGUGUUUAAUCCAUUUUUCGAGAGUCUCAUAUUUUCUUUUAAAUGGAAUAUUUUGAAAAAAGGCCAUAAAUAAGAGCUAUUGAGAGAGGCAUCUAUUAUUUCUUCUCUUGUUCCUCCUGGAAUAACUGGUAAUAUUUGUCUGAAAUCACCACCUAACAAUAAAGGUUUCCCACCAAAUGGAACAUUGUUAUCUAAAGGAUUUAAAUGUGAUAAAAUAUCAGAAAGUGAUUUAUCUAAUGCUUCAAAACAAUGUUUGCGAUUCAUAGGAGCUUCGUCCCAAACAAUUAAAGCGGCUUUUUCAAUUAAUUUGGCAAGAUGAGUUCCUUUUUUUAUUUGACAUGUUGAGCAAUUGUUAACAAUUAAGGGAAUUUUAAAUCUAGAGUGAGCUGUUCUACCACCAGGUAAUAAUAAUGAUGCUAUUCCUGAUGAAGCAACAGCUAAAACAAUAUUUCCUUAGGAUCGAAUUUUACUUAUUAUAGUAUGCCACAAAAAAGUUUUUCCUUUUCCUCCAUGACCGUGGACAAAAAAGAGGCCUGGCAUUUUUUCUUCAACAGUUUUUAUAACACAAUCAUAUACAUCUUUUUGACCUUUGUUAAGUUGUGUAACUAAAAUGGAGUGUUCUUUUUCUAAAUUAUUAUAAUCGUAAUUUAAUUCUUCUCUAAGCAAUUUAUUUCUAAGUUCUAACAUUCUAUAUUCAUCAGGCAUAGGAAGGUGAUGCUCCUUUAAAGAGCCGGAAGAUACAUUGAAAAGCUGUUCUAAUUCAAAUAAAAGAGAAUUUUUUAAUUCAGAUUCUGAUACAAUUAGAUUUGGCAUUCCGAAAGUUUGUCGUAAUUUGUGUAAAAUGUCCUCAGACAUAUUUUGCCAAUAAGUGUCAAAAAUAAUUUGAGGAUUUCCUACAUCACAAAAUAAAAUGAUUGUGACAAAUAAUUGCCUUAAUUGAGGACAUGUGGCUGUGUUUACAGCAUUUGCUAAGGCUUCAAUCCAUUCUUUAUCAUCUCCUAACAAACCUAGGGAUUUACAUGCAGCUUGGUAUGAUGGUUCUAUAAUACCAUUAACAGUUUUUAGGUCAUUAAAGUGAAAAGCCCCUUUUUGCAAAUUCAAAAGCAUUCUUAAAUAAUAUAAUUCACCAGAUGCAGGAUGUACAUAAGCUAUUCUACCAAGGGAUCCUUUUUUUUUUUUUCUAGGUUUCCACAUCUUAGUGAGAGAAUUCCACACAAAUUUUGGAGGGAAUUCUGCAUACGUUAAUGUUUGUGCUUCAUGAAAAGUUUUAUUAGCUUCAAACCAACUUGUUAACAUUGUAUAUUCAAUAUUUUUUCGGUUAACAAUUUAUUGAAGUGAUUGAUCACCAUUGAAAAUAAUAUUUUGUUCUAAAGGUAAAUGUAUUGGUAAUCGUUCAACUGAGGGUUUUCUAAAAUGAAUAGGAUAUUGAAACAAUCUCCAAACAGCUUCAUAUGGAGAUAUGUAUCUACAAUUUAGAUAGGCUAGUAUUUCAUCUUGUUGGUUCUCUUGGAAAACUACUCUAGCUCUAUCUGAACCUUUGUUUAUAUAUUUGAAAAGAUAUUUUAUAAGCAUUGAUUGACAACAUGAUUCAACAUUUAUAUGAGUAUUGUAUCUAUGCAGUAAUUUGGAAUUGUAAGGUACUACAAAACUAUUAUCAAUUUGUAUUCCAUUUUUUAUCACAAAUUUUGUUGGGUCGUCACGGCGUUUGUAUACAGGGUAACCAUUUGUUUCAAAAAUUGUUUCGCUUUUAUAUUGUUUGGGAAAAGAUUUAGAACAUUUUCCUUCUCGCAUACAUGGAGAAUGAGGAUUUAUUUGUCCACAUGGACCAUGGAUCAUAAAUUGAGCCACAAUAUCAUAAAGAUCAUAAUUUACAGUUUUGUUUGGUAAUUCAGCAGAAAUGAUAGAAUCUAUAUCAACUGCUGAAUAACAUUUAUAAUUUUGUUUUAACCAGAUCAACAUGUGAGCAUGUGGCAAUCCUCUUUUUUGGAAUUCGACAGUACAAACAUCUGUGUUGAUUGGGUGAAAAAAGGGAAAAAAUUCUUAGUUAGUUUUAUUAUUUAAUAAAAUGAUAAAAAUGGAGAGUAGUAUAAAUGGUGUGUUUUUAAAAUUUACCAGCUUUGAUUUCUCCAAAAGGUUCUCCUGAUUUGAUAUAAUUGAUCAUAUCAUCAAGUUUUAUUUUAAAUAAUCUUGAAACUAUAUCAGGCCGAUCUUCUGGUUUGUAUCUAGGUUUUGUAUUAAACUCUCUUACAAUUUCGGGCCAUCUAACAUUGCAGGUGAAAAUUAUAAAUAAAUCAGGAUUUCCAUAUUGUCUACAAAUUGCCAUAGCAUCUUGAUAAUUGUUAAGCAUGUAUCUAGCACUUCCAGUAUAUGAGCUAGGCAAUAUCACUCUUUGACCUAUGUUAUUAGCAUCAUUAUCACCCUUUGAAAUUGCAUCAUAAAUGCCUUUAUAAACCUCACUUCUUAAAUUUUUUUGAUUUUUCCUAAUAUAAUCUAAUCAAUCUUCUUCAAGUGUUGCAUAAGCGUCUACUAAAAAUUGUUGGAACAAUCUUCCACCUUUUAAUAAUGUAUCGAAUUGAAACACUCUUUCUUGGAUUCGAUAAGCUAUAAAAGCUCUCAUAGGAAUUCUUCUUCGUUUAGAUUCAUGGCUUGUACAAUGCCAUUUUAAGUCAGGUGUAUACUCAUCUUCACCAAAAGAAAAAAGAAGAGGAUAUUGUAAAGACAUGAAUUUUGGAUUUAAUUUUGUCACACGUUUAACUCUCCACUUUUAAAUUCUAUUAUAAUAUCUCUAUUUGAAUAAAAAAGGCCUAUAUCUCCCACUAUUAAACCACCAAUUUCAUCACAUGUUGGUUGUUCAUAUUGUUUGCUAUCAUUGGAUUGCCUGCCUAACAAUGUGAUCUUUAGAGGAGGAAGAGAACCUUUUUCAAAUUUAUCUCUAAUUGUUCGAAAAAGUUUAACCAAUUCAUUUGUUUGAUCAAACAUUUGAAUUAAACCUUCCACAAUGUUUUGAUCUAGCUUUUCAUUUUUUUGAUUACAAUUAACUGCAUCAAGCCGAUUCAUAACCUCAUUAUGGGUAUCAUAUAUAUAAAGUUGGGCAAAUUUAAGACAUUGACCCUCAGGAGGUAGUAAAGAACCCAUUAAAUGAUGAACUUGACCACUGAUUUUGAAAACAUAAGGGCUUGAUCCAUUGUUAAUUGAUUUAUCAAUUUUGGCUCCCAUUGAAGUAAAUGCAAACAUAGAAUUGUAAACCCUGAUAUUUUCUCUGAAUAAUACACUUUUUUUCCCUUUAUUAGGAUCAAGCAAAUUUUCUAAAAAACAGGGUGUUGGUUUUGGACUUUGAAGUUUAAUUUUUCCUUGUUGGCAACAAAGAGUAAAGAGAGGCUCAUUGUUUUUUGAUCUUUGUUUAAUGGAUUCUUGUAACCAAAAAAGUGCACCACAAUAAAUGCACUUAUGAUUCUUCUCUCCAAAAUCUGCACAUUCUUGGAUUAUUCCUAUAGGGGUGUAGAAUGGAGAGAAUAGAAAACAUAAAUGUAGGUUAUUAGUAAUAGAACAAUGUAGUUCAAGUUUAGUAGAAAAUUUUGAAGCAAAGGGAAACACCCACCUUGCCUAUUUCUUUGAAAGAUCGCUUGACCUUUACUCAUUUGAUUAAAACGAUGAAAUUCAAUUUCAUCUAUUGCUAUUUCAACUGUAUUCACAUUGAUAGAUAAUGUACUUUCAACACAUUUUUGUCUUUUGUUAUCAGCUUGAGAAAUGUUUUGAUCAUUGUUGAUAGGAAUUUUCUCGCUUGGAUGUUUAUCAUUAAUAUGAGAAACAUUUUUAUUUGGGACUUGUAUAUCAUUUGAAAUGAUGAGAUUAUGAGGUUCUUGCAUGAUUUGUUUUCUCGUGGUAUUUCUAGUUCUCUUCGACAUUAUCAACGAAGAUUUCAAUUUCCCAAAAACAGAUUGAUAUCUAGAAAAAAAAAACAUAUAUAUAUAAGUAAUAUUUCACAUUAUUAAUAACAUUUAAAUUCUAAGAAUGCAAAAUAAAUGUAGAAAUAUGAUGAUAGAAUUAUAUAAAUGAAAAUCUUCAAAUGAUAUAAUAUUUGCUAAUCAAUUAGUUAUAAAUGAUAUGCACAUUUUUUUUAAAAAGUUAGAAAAUACUGACCUGUAAUGAGAGAAUUUGUUAAGCACUUGUAGCAACACGUAUGCAAAAGCAAGAUGAUAGCAACAACCUAAAAUACAUAAGUAGAAGAACAGUUUUUGUUAAUAGGUUCAAAUCCAAAUAAUUAAAUUGAUAAAGCAAAAGUAUUUAAUUUUAUACAUCAAUUAAAUCUCUGUUAUUUUAUCAAACAACCAACUUCGUUUCAUAAUGAUUAAACAGUAUAUAUGUAUUAAUAUAAAGCCUUGUUAAACCGAUAUGUAUAGUUGAGACAUUUAACUGAAAAUUUAUAAUCAACCAAGCUCACCAGAUUAAUAAUUUAAAUAAAAUGCUUAAUGAGAACAUCAAGGGGAAAAUAUUUUUAAAAGGGGGAAAAUUUUAGCAUCAAAGCAUAUUCAACUUGUAUCAAUCAACAAAAUAAAGAUUACUUGUAAAUAACUUGUAUGCAAGCNNNNNNNNNNNNNNNNNNNNNNNNNNNNNNNNNNNNNNNNNNNNNNNNNNNNNNNNNNNNNNNNNNNNNNNNNNNNNNNNNNNNNNNNNNNNNNNNNNNNNNNNNNNNNNNNNNNNNNNNNNNNNNNNNNNNNNNNNNNNNNNNNNNNNNNNNNNNNNNNNNNNNNNNNNNNNNNNNNNNNNNNNNNNNNNNNNNNNNNNNNNNNNNNNNNNNNNNNNNNNNNNNNNNNNNNNNNNNNNNNNNNNNNNNNNNNUACAUAGUACGAAAUUGUUUUAUAUCACUGUAUCAUGAUUACAAAGCAACGAUACUAAUUUUUAUUCGAUCAAAAUAUAUUUGUAGAAAGACACAGCUGCAGAAGAAUAAAAAUUAAAAUAUAAUAUAACAAUUCUAGAUAUCUAUUAUUUUAUCAGACAACCAACUUCGGUUCAUAAUGAUUGAACAGUAUAUAUAUAUAUAUAUAUAUAUAUUAAUAUAAAGCCUUGUUAAAUCCAUAUGUACAAUUGAGACAUUGAACUCAAAAUUUAUAAUCAACCAAGUUCACCAGAUUAAUGAUUUAGAUAAAAUGUUCAAUGAGAACAUCAAAGGGAAAAUAUUUAAAAGAGGAGAAAAUUUUUAGCAAUAAAGCAUAUCCAACUUGUAUCAAUCAACAAAAUAAAGAUUACUUCUAAAUAACUUGUAUGCAAGCAUAAUCGAUGAAAAUAAAAUAUAAAAUCUUACAAAAUAAUUAAAAUCAAUUGACUAACAUGACUAAUAAUGCUCAAUUUUUAAAAAACAAUGAAUUAGAGGAGUUUUUAUACCUCGAAAAUGACAGCAGAAUGCAAAUGUCUAGUCCCUUGCUUUUUGGUGUAUUCAAGCUGUGAAAUAAACAAAUAAUUGAAUUAUAUUUGGAUCGAAUCACAUUUUUAGAGAAAUAUAGGUUAUCACAGGAUGAGAAAAAGAUGACAAAAUUUUCAUCACUAUAUGAAAUCCUGCUUAUAUUUUUAACACCAACAUAAAUUUAGUUUUGUGUAAACAACUUCACAAUUACAAAUAUCUAUUAUUAUAUCAAAGAAUUAACUGAAUUCUAUAACGAUCAAACAAUAUGCAUAUAUUAAUAUCAAGCCUAGUUAAACAGAUAUGCACAGUGAGCACAUUUGACUCAAAACUCAUAAUCAAUCAAGGCCACCAAGUCAAGAAAUCAAGUGAAAUGUUUCCUGAGAACCCUAAAGAAAACCAAUAGAGGUUAAGAUAAAAUCAUUGCCAAUUUCUAUUUUGUUGAAACCUGAUUGGUUUUGUUCAAGCAUUUUAUGGAAUUUUAAUGAGAGAAGAAUAAGGUAACUUUUGGCUACGACACAAACACAACUAAAAAAGAAUAGUAUAAUGAUUUAGACCCAACAAAACAAAAGUACAAUGCCGAGAUAGACCCAACAAAAGAAAAGUACAAUGUUGUCGUACUCAUCACCUCUUGACCCAUCUCUCCAGCUCACUCUAUGUUGUGUGCACAGAAACAAAACUCAAAAGUCUCUUACACGCCUCUCUCUCUCUCUCUCUCUCUCUCUCUCUCACACACACACACACACACAGGCACACAUAAACAGAGAGACCCAUGCGCUUCACUUCUCUCUAUAAAAUCUCUUUCUUUCUAAUUGGGUUUGUUGAGCUGAGGCAUGGUUGCUGGCCAAAUCUGGAAUAGCCUAUUUCAUGGUUGUCUACCAUUUGAAGGAAAUCUUCUUCUUUGGGCAGAGCCCUUCCCGUCCACCAGCUAUACCAGUGUCUAGCUCAACACACGGUGCUUUGUUUAAGGAGGUUAGUCGAUAAAACCCAUUUGAUCAGUGACAGUGGAAGAGGCUUCAAAUUAGUUGAUGGAUUUCGUUUUCAGAAAUAAAUUCUCUGCUCUUGUUUUUGUGAAAAAACUUGGUUUUUAUGCUUUGACUGAUCUGUUUAUGUCACCAAUGUUAGCUGUAAGUUUGGUUUGUGUUACCAAUUUAAUGGGCUUUGCAUCAUCUCUCACAAACUACACUCUGUUUUUCUCAUACCAGUGGUGAUAUAUUGCUUUGGUGGGAGAACAGAGAAGUCAAAAAAAUUAAUUGACAAUUGAGUAGAAAAAUUAAUUGACAAUUGAGUAAAAAAAUUAAGAAUAACAACGCUGGAAAUACCUCAGCGAAUCUGUAAGAUUUAAUCCCCUUCCUGAUAGAACCCAAGGGAGCUGGAAAGUGAGCACUUUGGAAGAGCAGAGGAAGAUGAGAAGAAUGGAAACGAAGAAGGCAAGCAAUUCGGUGGGAAAAAAGGUGGUUUUGUAAAACAGUGGAACCCUCCAGAUUUAAACAGUGAAGAACCAACAGCUCUCCCAUUUUACCCCUGUAGCUCUCCAACCAGCUAGUUGAAAUCCCACCAGACACCUCUCAGCCCUAAACAACAGCUAGUUACAUCCCAAGGAAAGAGAGGGCAAAACGGGAAAAAUACAGAACAAUCAGUCAAGGGCAAAAUGGCAAUUUUACUGUGCAAAAGGAGAGGAAAAGCUGGCUGCACAGUUUUAAAUGGAGGCAUUUUCGUAAUUUUACUGUGCUUAGCUACAGUAUUUAGUUGCAUUGGGUUUUAGUAUAUAUAGAAUUUUGUUUUUCAAUUUAUAAAAUUAGAUCCAAAUAAGAUACCAAACAUGUCAUAAGGUUUUUUUUUUUUUUUGGGAACAAAAGGAGAGUUUUUUUUUUUUUUUUUUGGCUGCUUACCAAGGUCUUAAAUAUCGAUAGUUUCGGAAAUAUCGGUGGUUCAAAAACACGGAAAUAUCGAUGGAAAUAUCGGGAAAAUAUCGAUAUCGAUAAAAAUUGGAUAAAAACCACGGAAAUUAUGAUAAAUACUUGGAAAUUUUUAAUGAAACUUUAGAAGAAGUUUAUUUAGUCAAUCAUCUAUUAUUUUGACACAAAAAAUUGGAAGAAAAUGCAUUGCAUAGUGGGUUUGUGUGAUUUAAGUUGAUUAUAUUGCGACCUGACAAACUCUGUGACUUAGAAAAUCUGAAGUAAUUAAUGAAAGAGAAUUAAACACUCCUUAGUAAUUUAUUUAUCAUUUUUUAGUACAAUAUUUUACUCUUUAUAAAUUGCAUGAUAAGAUACAUGAGUAAACUUAUUUCACGUUAUUCACUGGACAUGGUACACGUUGUUAUAUCUAUUGAAAAUUAGGCACUUUAAUAGUGAAGAUUGAAAAUUAACUAAGAACAUAAAUAAAUUUAUCCAGUGAAGAAUUAAAUAGGAAAUAAUGAAAAUGAUUAUAGAAAUUUAAGUAAUUAAGCAACAAUUUAUUUCACGUUAUUCAUUGGACAUGGUACACGUUCUUAUAUUUAUUAUUUAUCAAAAAUUGAAAAAUAAUUAAAGAUGUAAACCAAUUUGAUUUUUCAUGAAAAUUAGGCACUUUAUCAGGCUUAAAAAAUAAUAGUGAAGAUUAAAAAUUAACUAAGAACAUAAAUAAAUUUAUCCAAGGAAGAAUUAAAUAGCAAAUAAUGAAAAUGAUUAUAAAGAUUUAAGUAAUUAAGUAACAAUUUGAAGGAUAAUUUAGUAAUGUAAGUACUUAUAAUGAAUAAUAAAAUAAUCAAUAACAUUAAAUGAAUUAAAUAGAAAAAAAAAUAAAUUAUAUUAAGUAAUUAAGUCACAUUUCCCACUUCCCAAUUACUUUCACGUUUUCCUGCCUCCCUCUUCCACUUCCCAAGGUUUUUUUAACCUUUUUUUUUGUUUGAACUUCCCAAGGUUGCAGAUACAUGCAACCUGCCUUCUCUCUCUCUUUUGGGCAUUCACCCAUCUCUCCCUUUUUAUUCUUUUUAUUUAUUCUUCUUCCUCUUCCGUUUCACACUCCCACUCUCUCUCUCUCUCCCCUUCUUCUUCUAUCUCUCCGUCUCUUUCUCUUCUUCAUCUUCCCUCUUCUCUCUCCUCCAUCACAAUCCAAAACACUUAAACAUAAAGACCAACUCCACACAUUUUUUCCCUCUUCUUCCCUUCUCUCUCUCGCUCUUCUCUAUCUGCUUUUUUUUUUUUUUCUUUCUUCUUCUAUCUCUCCGUCUCUUUCCUUGCUUCCUCUUCCCUCUUCUCUAUCGCUUCAUCACAAUCCAAAAUAGCAAAACAUAAAAACCCACUCCAUAAUUUUUUUUUUCCUCUUCUUCCCUUCUCUCUCGCUCUCCUCUUUCUGCUUUUUUUUUUCCUGAGUUGAGAGACAGAGAAAGGCUGAGUUUCAGAGGCUGAGGGGUUCAUCUGAAGGCUGAGUUUAAUUUUGUAAGUUCAUAUCGCGAUAUUAUCGAUAAUAUCGCGAUAUAUUGUCCAUUUAAAGCUACAACUUGAACGAAAAUAUCGUUAUUGAAAUAUCGGCGAAAUUAUCGAGGAAAUUAUCGAUAAAUUGACGAUAUAUAUAUGGAAAUGUGCUAAAAUAUCGUAGCCCCAAAAAAACGAUAAUUUCGCCGAAAUAUCGGCGAAAUUAUCGAUAUUUUGUUCUAUGCUGCUUACAGACUACGCUUGAAAAGAAAAGUAGAAAAAAGGAAACAACCGACUAAGCAAAGAUAGAUACUUAAAGCGACACGUGUAUGACACGUAUACAAGAAGACUCCGAGCAGCGAAAGAGAUAAAUUCCCAUCUGUCCUACAAGUGUCCUCCGCCGAAAUUGAAAUCGAAAUCAUCUUCUUCUUCCUCCUUGCGUCUGUUUAUGCAACUCAACCUCUUCGUCUUCUUACCUUUCCUCGCAUUCUCAUCCUUGGCAGAAGAAUCAAAUCCCUCCCAACUCCAAAACAUGGCCACUCUCGGCGGAGUCCACGAAUCCCAUGCCUCCCAGAACAGCCUCGAAAACCAAGACCUCGCUCGCUUCGCCGUCCAAGACCAUAACAACACGGAGGUCUUUACUCUUUUUUGCCUUUUAAUUUCUUCAAUAUUAUGCUGGAAUUUUAAUUAAUUAGAUUAUUAAGCAAUUAAUUGAAAUUCUUACAGAAUGCUCUGCUUGAGUUUGCUGGAACUUGCUCGUGUGAGUCUGCAUGAAACUAUAAAUCAAUGUUACAUCUUUGUAAACAAAAAUAUAAAAGACAUGUUCAGUCAAAUUUCAUUCAGUACUAAGGAGUACCAGUAUGAUUUCAUUGAAAGUGCUGCACUAUUACUUUAAGACUUGUUUUUUUUUUUAAUAACAUUUAUAGCCCUCCUCCUGUGUUUCAAUUUGGUACAAACUGUGCCAAAGAACUGUAUUUUCUAUCCACGAGAUGGAUUCAUGCCGCCCUACGAAUUAACUGUUAAUAACAUAACUGAAUGUUGGUUGUGGCUUAAAUGGAAAACAAGAAGCAUCUGCAUGCUGCAAUUGGAUAUGAAACAAUAUUUAUCCAAGAAGAGAAGAAAUUGUGAUGUUACUUCACAGCUCGUUUUUGUAAAUCGGGACAGCUGAAAUAAUGAGGAAGCAGAAAAGUCUGUGUUGUGGAUAAAAUGUUUUGUUUCUGUCAUAUGUUUUUGCAUUCCGCCACGGUCACUUACAGGAUGAGAUGAUGUUAGAGAGUGAGUUUUAUGGCUCGUGUUUUUUUCUCUGUUUUAAAAAAUAGCCCAGGUGCUGGUUUUAAAUAUAAAUAAAAGGAAGAACUUGAAACCAUGAACAUAUAAAAAUAAAAGCUUUAUUAUCAAUUCCUCCCUAAAUUCUACUCCCAUAAUUUAUUGAGAAUGUAAUUUCAUACCAAUUUACAAAUUCUACUUCCACAAUCAUCAGCCUGCUAUAAUCACUUUUGAUAAAGCCCACCGACACAAAAAAGAUCUUGAAACCAUGAUCAUAUAAAAAUAAAAGCUUUAUUUACCAAUAUAAAAUCUUCUAACACAAUAAGUCCGCCGACACUAAAGACAAUGUGAGGAAGAACUUGAAGUGAGGAAGAACUUGAAACCAUUACCAUAUAAAAAUAAAAGCUUUAUUUACCAAUAUAAAAUCUUCUAACACAAUAAUGGAGGACAGCUGUAUGACGAGUCUAAUCGUGUGGGUUCCCCACGUUAUUACAAACGCACUUGUCUUUUUGCAAUAAUAUUCUCACUCGAAGACUCCAAGUCAAUGAUACUGAGAGCAACAGCCAAAUCCUUUGCUGCAAAACUUGCUUCAAAUCUUAACUCAAGUCCAAAUCCUUUGCAAAGAAUCGAAACAUGGCUGGAGCUUUGGUUGGAGAGGCUAUUCUCUCUGCCUCCGUGCAGGUGCUGUUUGACAAGAUUGGUUCCAGCGAGUUCGUGGACUUGUUCCGGAGAAAGAAACUGGACGAGUCGCUUGUUAAGAAACUGGAGAUAACGUUGUUGAGCCUUAAUGCGGUGCUUAAUGACGCGGAGGAGAAGCAAUUCCUGAACAGCUACGUGAAAGAGUGGCUUGAUAAGCUUCAAGAUGCUGUCUUUGAUGCGGAUGACCUUCUGGAUGAGAUCAAUGCUGAAGUUUUGCGAUGCAAGGUGGAAGCUGAAUAUCGAACCGUCAAAACUCAGGUGUGGAACUUCCUCUCUACUUCUCUUAAUCCUUUUUAUCAAGGCAUGAAUGGUAGGAUUCAAGAGUUGUUUGAUAGAUUAGAACACCUCGCAAAACAAAAGGAUUUCCUUGGGCUGAGAGAAGGUGUUGUUGGGGGGAAGGUUUCUCAAAGAACUCCAACAACUUCCUUGGUGGAUGAAUCUUGUGUGUACGGUAGGGAUGGAGAUAAAGAAAAGCUGAUGAAACUGUUGUUAUCUGAUGAUGCAAGCGACAAGGAUGUCUCCGUCAUCACCAUAGUGGGAAUGGGCGGGGUUGGCAAGACAACCCUCGCUCAGCUCCUUUAUAAUGAUGAAAAAGUGAAAGAGCAUUUUAAUCUUAGAACCUGGGCUUAUGUUUCGGAAGCUUUUGAUGUUACUAGGGUAACUAAGUCCCUACUUGAGUCAGUCAGUUCAAAAGCUUACGAUAAUAAAGACCUGAGUUUUCUUCAAGUUGAGCUAGGACAACAAAUAAAGGGCAAGAAAUUUCUGUUUGUGUUGGAUGACCUUUGGAAUGAGAACUAUGGUGAUUUGAGUCUCUUGCAACGUCCUUUUGCAUCCGGGGCAAAGGGAAGUUGGGUCAUCGUGACAACACGUAACGAAAGUGUUGCAUCUCUCGUGCGCACCAUUCCGAUUCACUUUUUGAAACAGUUGUCUAAUGAGGAUUGCUGGUUGUUACUUUCAAAACACGCCUUCGAAAAUGGAAACUCAAGUGCACAUCUAGAGCUGGAAGAAGUUGGUAAGAAAAUUGCUUCUGCGUGCAAUGGUUUACCUUUAGCAGCAGAAACCCUUGGAGGCCUCUUGCGUUUCAACACAAAUUAUGAGCAAUGGAAUAGCAUACUAAAUAGCAAUAUUUGGGAGCUGCCUCCUGAAAAAUGUAAUACAAUUCCAGCUCUAAGAUUGAGUUACCAUUAUCUCCCAACUGAUUUAAAACGAUGUUUUGCUUAUUGCUCAAUUUUUCCGAAGGGCUUUGAAUUCCGAAAGGAAGAUAUUGUUCUACUGUGGGUGGCAGAAAGUUUAAUUCCACAAGCUGAGAGUGAGAAAAGUAUGGAAGAGCUCACUAAGAAAUACUUUGAUGACUUAUUGUCACGAUCAUUUUUUCAAAGAUCAAGAAAUGAGAAGUUCACAAUGCAUGAUCUCAUCAAUGACUUGGCCAUGUCUGUGUCAAGGGAAUCCUGUUUGAGAUGGGAAGGGGGCGAAUCACAUGAAGUUUUGAAAAAAGUUCGGCAUUUGUCGUAUGCUAUAGGCCAAUUUGAUUGUGCUGCGAAAUUUGAGCCAUUAUAUCAGGUUAAGCAUUUGCGAACCUUCCUACCUCUAAGAAGCAAAGAAUGGUGGUUUGAGCAUUAUGUAAUAAGUAAAAGGGUUUUACCUGAGUUAUUGCCAAAUUUAACAUGUUUACGGGUGCUAACAUUGUCAGAAUAUGAUAAUAUUGUUGAGUUACCCAAUUCUAUUGGUAACCUCAUUCAUUUGCGCUACUUGGAUCUCUCUAAUACCGGAAUCAAAAGGUUACCUUCUAUAGUUUGCACUCUUUAUAGUCUACAAACAUUACUAUUGGCAAGUUGUCGGUCUCUUUUUGAAUUGCCUGCAGACAUGAGAAAAUUGAUUAACUUGAGGCAUCUUGAUUGUAGUGGAACUCAAAUUGAAGAGAUGCCGGUGCAAAUGGGUAGACUAAAAAGUUUGAGAACAUUGACUACUUUUGUUGUGGGGAAAUCUACUGGGUUGACUAUUGGCGAAUUGGGGGAGUUAUCCCAUCUUGGAGGAAAGCUUUCAAUUUUGAAGCUUAAUAAUGUGGUUGAUGGUAGGGAUGCAUUGCAAGCUAAUUUGAAGAACAAACAAGAUCUCAAGGAGUUAGAGUUGGCAUGGGGCUCCAAAGAUGCCGAUCAUUCCGAAAAGGUGAGAGAUGUGCUUGACAACCUCCAACCUUGCAUGAAUUUGGAGAAAUUGACCAUCAAACGUUAUGGCGGGACCAGCUUCCCAAACUGGUUGGGAGACUCUGCCCUCAAUAAAAUAAAAGUUUUGCUUCUCGAAGAUUGUCGUUAUUGUUUCGAGUUGCCACCGCUUGGACAGCUACCUUCUCUUAAGGAGCUCAACAUAUGUAGGAUGAAAUUUCUUAGGACGUUAGGUCCUGAGUUCUAUGGUCAGCCAUUUCAGCCAUUUCAAUCGCUGGAGAUGCUGGGGUUUAGGGAGAUGGCAGAGUGGGAGGAAUGGGUACCAAGUGGAAGUGAAGGUCCAAACUUUCCUCGUCUGCGGAGGUUGAUUCUAAGUUGGUGUCCAAAGCUGAUAGGAAGCUUGCCUUGUGAUCUGCCUUGCUUGAAGAAGCUUAGCGUGAAAGGGUGUGGGGUUUUACAUGAUCAAAGGGCCACUGCUACUACUAGUACUAGUACUAGUCUCAACUACAAUUGUCUUGAAGAAUUGGAAAUAGAAGAUGGAUGCCAAACAGGUCUGUUAUCAUUACUAGAGACAAAGCUCCUGUCCCGACUUUAUGUUACACGUUUUAAUGACAUACAGUGCUUGCCCAACAUCAAUCGUCUUCAAAGGUUGAGUCUCUCGAAGUGUCCAACCCUGUCGUCGUUCCCUGAAGAUGGCCUACCCACUUCGUUGACUUCACUUAACAUAUACAGUUGUAGGAGAUUAGAAUUCCUACCUCAUGAGAUGUUGGCCCAAUUAACAUCGCUUUCCUCUUUGAUUCUAGAGAAUAGCUGUGAUUCAAUGAGGUCCUUCCCCUUGGGCAUUUUUCCCAAAUUGACGACACUUGAUAUUCGCAAUUGUGAGAAUCUGGAAUCGCUUUGCUUGAUUGAAGAAGAAGGAGCGGUCGAGAAUCUCAGUCAUCUCAAUAAUUUGAGAAUCUCAAGCUGUCCAAAUCUGGAGUGUUUUCCCCAGGGAGGAUUGCCCACUCCCAACCUGACUUGUUUGGUAUUCCGGAGAUGCAAGAAGUUGAAGUCAUUACCUGAACGCAUUCACACCCUCACAGCCCUUGAAAGAUUGAGUAUAAGCGACGUUCCAAAUCUGGAGUCAAUUGCAGAGGAUGGGGGUUUGCCUCCCAACCUCCGAUAUUUUAGCAUUGAGAAUUGUGUGAGACUGAGGGCUUCAUCUUCAUCAGUGGGAGACUACUGUAACUGGGGUUUGCAAGCAGUUGAAGAAUUUACAAUUGGUGGCAGGGGAAGUGAUGAAAUCUUGGAGACGUUGCUCAAGCAACAGCUGCUCCCUACCACUCUUCACACUCUCUGGAUCUCUUCAUUAUCAACUCUGAAAUAUUUGGAUGGAAAGGGACUUGCACACCUUACUUCUCUUCAAGAACUAUUUAUUGCUGGGUGUGACAGUCUGGAAUUCCUGCCAGGAGAGGCACUUCAACACCUCACUUCUCUUCAAAAGCUAAAUAUUUGUAACUGUCCGAGUCUCCAAUUCCUGCCAGAAGAGGGUCUGCCGCCAUCUCUUUCUUAUCUGAAGAUCGUCGGCUGUUCUGCCCUGGAGAAAAGAUAUCAGAAUAAAACGGGACAAGAUUGGGCCAGCAUAUCUCACAUUCCAUACAUCAGGAUAAAUGGUGAAGUCAUCAUAUGAUGAUAUGACCUCUCUCUCUCUCUCUCUCUCUCUCACACAUUGAGGCAAACAAACUCUGGUCAUGUAUCUACGUCAAAUAACCGCUUUAACUGCUUUUCUUCUAAUUCAAUACAAAAACUGAAAUUCACUAUUCAAAUAACCGCUUUGACGUUUGUAAGAUUGUUCUUCUAUUUUGUUGUACUUUCUGAAUCAGUAGUAACAAAAACAAUUUCUUACCAGCGGUUAUUGUAUUAUCUUACAUAGUGCCAUGUACAUGCAUACCAAAUGGUUUUGUUCAACUGAAAAGAUUGACAUGGUAAAUUUAUUCAAGUAGUAUAAAAACCUACAUAUGCCAUCUUCUUUCAUUCAAUUUUCGAAAAGUGUUCAUUCAUCCCGUUCUUCUUCAAAAAUUAAUGGAGGAAGUUAUACUAGUCGCAUGGUUUGAAGAAGGCAACUUUCCUUUUCCCUGUCUCCCUGGUCCAGCUGCUACUUCAUUACCUAGUAGCUUUAUCUAUAUGAUUGUGUGGAUAUGCAUAUAAUCUCUUAUCUGCAAAUGAUUUUUUUUUUCCGUCCCACGAAUCAUUCCUUCAGCUACAAAGUUCUAUUUGAUGAGACUUGAAAUGUUGGAUGUGUACUUGCAGACUUGAGAAACUUUCCCAUGUUUGGAGGUCAAAGCAACUUGUAUAGGCAACCAUGCCCGAGGAGAGUUUACCAUUGUAUAUGGAUUUUUGUUUUUCUACAAACAAAUUGCGGCAAAGAAGGGGAAGGAAAUGUUCUCAAAGCAGAGCUCUAGAAAGAGACCAGCAUUUGGACAAUGUCGUAAACGGAUCUCAAUCUAACAUAACAAGCAUCACUUUCCAUUCAUGAUUAGGUAAUCUUUCAUCAUAAAAUUCCUUUCCCUACGUAAUAACUUGAAGACGUCAUUUAUGAGAGCUCAAGUUCUGGGACAUACGACAUUGAGGAAACUCCAUGCUUGGUCUUGAACAAUACUAUGAUUUUCCUCCGGUAGGGAAUCACAUAAGUGUUCCUUAUGCAACGAAUAUUAAUGCUGCACACUUCAUUAAUGACUUGUUUAUUUAGAAGAAACAUUUUUUAGUGAAAAAGAUAGUAACAUAAACGAGUACUCGUCCAUCACAGAACAGGAACAGAGCUGAUCUUAAGAGAAAUACAACUGUAAGAGCUUUAACAGGAACAGAGCUGCCUUCCAUCCUUGAAUUGUGAUUAAACCAAUGCUCAAGGUGAAGAUAGGAACCUCACCCUAUUCGGAAGCUCUUGUUGGCGAGUCCUUACUUAGUUAGGAUUUUGGUUCCUUAUUUUAUUAGAAUUUUGGUUACUUACCAAUCAUUAUUUAGUCCUAUUGUAGUAGAGAUUUACUUCCUAUUGUAAUUUAGAUAUAUUUCCUAUUUUAUUUAAGGUUAACAUAUCUUUGUACUCGUAUAAAUACCUCUAUAUUGGAGAAGAAUAAUAAUAUGAGUGAAUAUGAGCAUAAUUGAAUAUUUUACGCUUCUUUGUUUAGCAUGGUAUCAGAGCGGCGAUCUUGGAAUUGCUGACUCUAGUUUCAAAUCCCCGCCGCCGCUAUGAGGGUUGAUGAUUUUUUCAACCCUCAUGGAGGUAGCACCACUGACUUCUUCUCUUAUUCUCAACCAACCAUCGUUGAGUUGAGUGCCCAGAUGGCUCAGCUCCUACAGAUGCAGACUUUGACCCCGAACCCGAUCCAGAAUCAGGAUCCUCUUUUGACGACCCCGACCCCGACCCCGACUAUGACGACGACGACCCUGACCCCGACUCCGAUGAUGACCCCGACCCCGAAUUUGGCUCUAAUUCAGACCCCGAUCCCGAAUUUGACUCCGACUCCGGCCCUAACUCAGGCUCAGAUUCCGAUCCAAAUUCCUACUCAACGUGUAUUUUAUGCAUCUUCCGCUGCACAGAUUAUGACUUCUCGACUAACGACCCCGACACAUAGACCAGAUUGCGCAUAUUGUGGUGAUCCGAGACACACUUGUGAGACUUGUUUUACAUUGCCUAGCUAUCCCAAUUGGUGGGCUACUCUUACAGAUCGAGGACAAUGCAAUAUGGCCAGUAAUGAUACUGGUUAUGGAUUCCAUACUUUCAAUAAGAUUGAUUCCAGGAGCUGGAUAAUUGAUUCUGGUGCAACUGAUCAUAUGACGUUUGAUCCUGAUGAUUUUCUGAAUACUACACAACCUCGACGAACUUGUAUUGCAAAUGCCAAUGGUGUCACUUAUCCUGUGACAGGGGCUGGCACUGUUGCACUCUCAUCCUCUCUCACACUGUCUAAUACUUUACUUGUUCCAUCUUUAUCCACUAAAUUGUUGUCAGUUAGUCAACUUACUAAACAAUUGAAUUGUUGUGUACUCAUUUACCCGAGUUUUUGUUUGCUUCAGGAUAUUCACACUAAGGAGAUUCUUGGUCGUGGUACUAAGAGAGGGAGGCUAUAUUAUGUCGAUGACUUCAGUCCCGGCGUGGCUAACUGUGUGACACAUCCCUUUGAUAGCAAACAAAAGCAAAUCUGGUUGUGGCACCGUCAAUUGGGACAUCCGUCUUUUAAUUAUAUGAAGCAUCUUAUAUUUUGGCUAAGAGUCACCUUGUGCCCUACCCGUUGAGUACGAACAAGUGUACUACUCCAUUUACGUUAAUUCACUCUGAUGUCUGGGGACCUUCGCCUACCACUGCUCCUUCUGGUGUUCGAUGGUUUGUCACAUUCAUCGAUGAUUGUACACAGAUGACAUGGCUUUAUUUGCUGAAGAAUAAAAACGAAGUGUUUUCCUGUUUUCAGUCCUUCCACAAACAGAUGAAAACUCAGUUUAAUGCUCAAAUCCAGAUUCUUCGCUCAGACAAUGGUGGAGAAUUUGUCAAUCAUGACUUUCAGACUUACUUCCAACAACAUGGAAUUAUCCAUGAGACGACUUGUCCUCAGGCACCGCAACAAAAUGGUGUUGCUGAACGAAAGAGUAGACAUCUUCUUGAAACUGCUCGAGCACUUCUGAUUGGUGCUCAUGUUCCUCGCCAUCACUGGGAUGAUGCUAUUGUCACCGCAAUUCACCUGAUCAACCGCAUGCCUUCUGGUGUAUUGACCUUUAAAACUCCCUUACAGGUGCUUGCGCAACACAGAAAAUUCUCACAAACAAAUAUUCUCUCAUAGUUUUCAUAUUUUAGCAUGGUAUAAGAGCCUGGUUCCUAACCUGUGAUAACCUCUGACAAAUUGAGAGUCGUUGGCAUUCCUCAUUCCUAACCCAUCAUGGGUCUUCACCUUGCUGUAAAUCCUCGUUUCUCCUUUCCUUAAUAAUCAACAUAUAUUUCUUCUGCCUUAGCCAUAACCGCACCUUUCUGCAAUUUUACCCUUGUCUUUGUCCUUGCGGUGUUUAUUUGAGUCAUUACUGCUAAAAUAUGAAACCUAAUACGAGAAUAUUUGUUUGUGGGAAUUUUCUGUGUAUUCUUCUCCUUGUAGGAGGUCAUAUUUAUAAUACAACAAAACCUGAAUGGGCAAGUAAAUAAUAAAUUCCUAAAUCCAUUUACAGUAGGAAAUCAGGAAUUAAAGUAAAUCAAUUACAAUUAUAAUAGGAAUUCUUGGUGUGUAAGGAAAGUAAGUCAAUACCCACAAGUCACGCCAACACUCCCCUCACGUUGGUGCAUAGAUGUCGCCAAUGCUCAACUGAUCCAGUGAAUUGUGGAAUGCUUUACUGGAAAUUGCCUUUGUCAAAAUAUCCGCCAAUUGAUCAUCGGAUUUCACAAAAGGAAACUGAAACACUUUAGCCUCAAGCUUCUGUUUGAUGAAGUGUCGAUCCACCUCAACAUGUUUAGUAUGAUCAUGUUGAACCGGAUUUUGUGCAAUGGCUAUAGCAGCCUUGUUGUCACAAAAGAGAUUCAUUGUGGAUGUAGGUUUAUACCCAAGUUCAGUAAGCAGCUUUCUUAACUAAAGAAGUUCACAAAUCCCUUUAGUCAUGCCUCUGAACUCGGCUUCUGCACUGGAUAAAGCUACUACAUUCUGUUUCUUACUCCUCCAUGUCACCAAAUUACCUCCCACGAAUGUGAAGUAACCCGAUGUGGAUUUUCUAUCUGUUACAUUACCUGCCCAAUCUGCAUCUGAAUAACCAUCAAUAUUUAGAUGACCAUGCUUUGAGAACAUAAGUCCUUUUCCAGGUGCAGACUUCAAAUAUCUAAGUAUCCGAAGAACUGCAUUCAUGUGGUCUUCACUUGGAGAGUGCAUAAAUUGACUGACAACACUCACCACAUAAGCAAUGUCUGGUCGAGUAUGUGACAAAUAGAUCAAUCUUCCCACUAACCUUUGGUAUCUUUCUUUGUUAGUUGGAACUUGAUCCGGAUAUUCUCCAAGAUGAUGAUUCUGAACAAUAGGAGUGUCCGCAGGUUUGCAAUCUAGCAUUCCUAUGUCCGUCAACAAGUCCAAGACAUAUUUCCUUUGAGAGAGAAAUAUGCAUUGCUGCGAUCGAGCCACUUCAAUUCCCAAGAAAUACUUGAGUCCACCUAGAUCCUUCAUCUCAAACUCAGUAGCCAAAUAGUCUUGUAGCUGUGAUAUUUCCUGUUUAUCAUUCCCAGUAAUAAUCAUAUUAUCAACAUAGAUUAUUAAUGAUGUUACCUUCCCUUUUCGAUGUUUCAAGAAUAAAGUAUGAUCUGAGUUGCACUGUUUGAAACCAUUGUUCUUCAUUGCCAUGGUGAACCGUCCAAACCAUGCACGUGGUGACUGUUUUAAUCCAUACAAUGCUUUUCGUAACCUGCAAACUGUUCCACUCUGAGUAGUAUUACAUCCAGGAGGAAUGUCCAUGUACACCUCCUCCGUGAGUUCGCCAUGUAGAAAAGCAUUCUUUACAUCAAACUGGUGUAGUGGCCAAUCCAAAUUAGCUGCAAUGGACAAUAAGACUCUGACGGUGUUUAACUUUGCAACUGGUGCAAAAGUUUCUUCAUAGUCUAUACCAUAGGUCUGUGUGUACCCUUUUGCCACAAGUCUUGCCUUGUAUCGCUCUAUAGAUCCAUCUGCAUUAUGUUUUAUAGUGAACACCCAUCUACAUUCGAUAGUCUUUUUUUCUCGUGGUAUAGUCUCCAAUGUUCAAGUCUGAUUUUUCUCAAGAGCUUUCAUCUCCUCUUUUAUAGCUUGGACCCACUUAGGAUCUUUCAAUGCUUCAGAGACCUUGGUUCGAAUAUGGAUAGCAGACAAUUGAUGCACAAAAGCCUUGAGUGGUUCAGACAACUUCUCAGUGGAUACAUGAUUUGCAAUUGGAUACUUGGAUGUCUUGCCAAUAUCAGGUGAAUAACGGUUUGGUGGCUUCCCACGAUUUUGCCUGAAAGGUAAUUGAUAUCCAAUAGUUUUAUCCUCUAAAUGCACAAGUCUAGUAGGAGUAUUUACCUCAAAGAUAUUCUCAGGAGAUUGGUUCGUUGGUACUGUUGAAUGAGAGGGGGGGUCUUCAUCUUGUUGUUCUGAGUUAUCUGUAAGAGUAUGACUCGCAUCAAAAACAUCUUCGCAAGGGUUAGGCGAUCGAUCGUUGUUUGGCAGAGAGCAUUCGCACGUGCCAGACUCGGGACGAUCGAUUGUUAUUGUUUCUUGGCCGAGAGCAAUCUUCGUGCAUAGAUGAAUAUCCUCAUGUUCCAAGCUGCUCCAAUUGAGCUCUUCACUCGGUAUCUCCCCCUGAAGAGUAGAAUUGGAUGCUGGGUCAUAGAAGAACAUAUAUGAUUCUAGAAAGGUAACAUCCAAAGUGACAUAGGUUCGCCGGGUAGGAGGGUGAUAACAUUGGUAGCCUUUCUGAUGAGUGGCAUAACCCAAAAAAACACAACGAAGCGCACAUGGAUCAAGUUUGCUUCGUUGAUUUUUGUGGAGAUGAACGAAGGUCACACAGCCAAAAAUGCGACGGGUAAGUACCAAAACAGAGGGCAAAGGCCCGUGUUGCGCGAGCACUUGUAAUGGAGUUUUGAAGUUCAAGACCCCAGAUGGCAUGCGGUUGAUAAGGUGGACAGCAGUGACGACAGCAUCAUCCCAGUGAUGACGAGGAACAUGGCCACCAAUGAGAAGAGCACGGGCUGUUUCAAGGAGAUGACGAUUCUUCCGUUCGGCAACACCAUUUUUUUGUGGUGUCUGGGGGCAAGUUGUCUCAUGAAUAAUGCCAUGUGUCUGGAAGUAAGUCUGAAAAUCAUGAUUAACAAAUUCUCCACCGUUGUCAGAACGAAAAAUCUGGAUUCGAGCAUUGAACUGUGUUUCCAUCUGUUUGUGAAAGGAUUGGAACACGGAAAAUACUUCAUUCUUAUUUUUCAUCAAAUAAAGCCAUGUCAUCCGUGUACAAUCAUCUAUGAAUGUGACAAACCAACGAAUACCGGAAUGAGUAGAAAUAGGUGAGGGUCCCCAAACAUCAAAAUGAAUUAAAGCAAAAGGAAUAGUACUUUUAUUCAUACUUAAAGGAUAGGAUGCUCUAUGACUCUUAGCUAGAAUACAAGUGUCACAUUUAAAAUCUGAGUCCUUAAAUACAGAAAACAAUUCGGGCAAUAAGUGUCUCAUAUAACCAAAAGAUGGAUGCCCCAAACGUCGAUGCCAGAGCCAAAUUUGUCGGUGCUUGUCAUCAGACGGAUGCUUCACACUAUUGGCACGUCCCAUACUGAAGUCAUCCACAUAGUACAGCCCCCCUCUUUUAGUACCACGCCCAAUGAUCUCCUUGGUGAGAAUAUCCUGUAGUAAACAAAAAUUGGGAUAAAUUAGUGCACAACAAUUUAGUUGUUCAGUUGCCUGACUCACAGACAUUAAUUUAUUGGACAAAGAUGGAACGAGUAGAGUAUUAGAAAGGGACAGAGAAGGUGAAAGGGCAACAGUGCCGGCCCCUGUCACAGGAUAGGUAACUCCAUUUGCAUUGGCAGUACUUGUGCGGCGGGGUGUAGUGGUGUGUAAAAAAUCAUUCGGAUCAAAGGUAAUAUGAUCAGUGGCGCCAGAAUCAAUUAUCCAACCAGUAGUAUCUCGUAGAUCAGAAGUAUGAAAUGCAUAACCACAGUUACCUGAGACAUCCGGAAGCGCGGGACUAUCAGGAGGAUCUACCUGCAGGAACAAGGCUAAUGGGGGUUCGGUAGAGACAAGAGCAGCACGGCCAGAAUUACUAGCAGUUUCUCUGAACUUGCGAGCGCGGAGGUCCUCCCACCAAUCAGGAUAACCAUUUAGCUUAAAACAGGUGUCACGGGCAUGUUUGACGUUGCCACAGUGCGUGCAACCACUUCUAUCAGUCGGAGCCUUGGGACGGGAAGGUGGGAUGGUUUUAGGAAGUGGCGCACCAGCAGCAGUAGCAUAUGACUGGAUCUGAAGAUGGGCUGCAGUAGAGGAAUUAUGGGGCUGUCCGGCACGAGUAGGGGGACCUGAUCGAGGGGCACUCUUGGCCGCGAAGCCAGCACCAGUGGCUCGAUCGGAUGAACCCAUCAUCACUGCUUGUCGAACAUCUUCACGGUGAACAUAGGCAUAAGCUUGGUCAACAGUAGGGAAUGGAGUCAUGUGAAGAACAUCACUUCGGGCCUUAUCAAGACGAUCAUCAAGGCCAUCCAAAAAUAUGUAAACUCGAUCUUCCUGCAGAAUAUCAUUAUAGCGCUUGAUAUCACUUUCAUACUCCAUCAUAUUUGGACGACGAAAAUCAAUUUCUCUCCAUAAGCUUUGGAGAGUAUUGUAAUAGGUUUCAAUGGAGCCACCAGCUUGCCGCAUACGAGAGACUCGUCGUUUCAGAUCAUAAACCUGAGAAGUGUCAGUGCCAUCAUAGUAAGUUGUGGCAAUUGCAUCCCACAUUGCUUUUGCCGUUGAAAAUCGAAUGAAAUUGCCAAUCAAGCUCUGCUCCAGAGAAUUGAUAAGCCAUCCCUUCACAAUAGAGUUCUCGGUGCGCCAGCGAGGAAACGUUGGAGCAGUCGAAGGGGGUUGCGGAAGAUCGCCAUUAAUAUAUCUCAAUUUGUCUUUGUCGGAGAUAUACAACUCUACAACUUGGGACCAUAGGGCAUAGCUGGUGCCAUCCAACUUUAUGCAAAUCUGUGCAGCGAAAGCUUCAUAGGUAAUUGUCGUCGAAAUCGUUGUCUGAUUCGGGUUCAAGGUCGUCGUCUGAUUCGAGGUCGGGGUUGUCGUCUGAGUCGAGGUCGGGGUCGUCUUGGUAGGAUCCUGAUUUAGGAUCAAUUUCGAGGUCUGAGUCUGCAUCUGCAUUAGUUGAGCCACCUGGGCACUCAACUCGGCUAUGGUUGGUUGAGAAGGAGAGGAGGAAGCAGUGGUGCUACCGCCAUGAGGAUUAGAAGAGUCAUCCUCCCCUAUGGUGGCGGCUAGGGUUUAGAAACUAGAGUCAGCAAUCCCAAGAUCGCCGCUCUGAUACCAUGCUAAAAUAUGAAACCUAAUACGAGAAUAUUUGUUUGUGGGAAUUUUCUGUGUAUUCUUCUCCUUGUAGGAGGUCAUAUUUAUAAUACAACAAAAUCUGAAUGGGCAAGUAAAUAAUAAAUUCCUAAAUCCAUUUACAGUAGGAAAUCAAGAAUUAAAGUAAAUCAAUUACAAUUAUAAUAGGAAUUCUUGGUGUGUAAGGAAAGUAAGUCAAUAUCCACAAGUCACGCCAACAAUUACCUUUCUUUUUCUCU